AGGAGGAACAGUUGCCUCAGCACGUCUGCGCAGCUUUCCUUGCGGCGCCCCUCCGCGUGGUCUAUGAUGGUGCGUUUUUGGUCCAGUCAGGCCCGGUGUGGUCGGCCUCAUUUUGGAUUACUUCGGUGGGCUUCUCCUCGGCGUGGUUACGGUCUAGUACACCUUAGUGUGCUUUUCUCUGCAUGGUUCUUCCCAGCGUGGCUCGUCUCAGCAGCGUGGUUUUCAUCCGUGUGAUCGUCCUCUGCAUGGUUUUUCACGGUGAGGUCAUAUCAGCCAGCCACCAGCCUCAGCAUAUUUGUCCACAAUUCUUUUGGAGCUGCCUCUGCUCGGAUUACUUGAGCACUACACCUCAGUCCCGACUAGCCAUCCUCAGUGUGCUUUGCUCAACGCGAUCCUCCUCAGUGUUUGUCCUGAGCCUAGACCUCCAUGGUGAGGUCUUAUCUUGUUUCGUCAUGGUGGUCGGCGAUAUGGUCCGAUCUGCCUCAGCAAUCGGGUCACUUCCGUGUGGAUCGUUUCAGCACGGAUCACUCCAGCGCGGUCGGCUGCCUUGGCGCGAUCCACUUGGCUUCUCAGCAUUUUUUUUAGCCUACUGGGUUCUCUCAGUUUUUCUUCAACACGCUUCUUUUCCCUCUGUGUGAUUCUACUUGGAGAGCUUUUCUGUUCAGCUUGGUUCCCAGCGCUUCUUUUUCUCUGCAUGGUUCUCCUAGGUAUGGUUUUUUUCUCAGCGCGGUUUCUUCUCUGAGUCAGCACGGCACAAGUCGCAAGUCCGCGUGGCCGCGCUCAUCAUAGCCUCCCCCUCCUCGCGGCAAGCACUCACGGCCAGAAGCAGAGGUGAUUCUGUGCCGCGCUUUCGCGGCUGGGCUCCAUCUUCGUUUUGCCGCAGUGGCUCCGUAUUCGUUUUGCAGUUACGGCUCGGUCCUCGUUUCACGGCCGUGGCUCAGUUCUCGUAUUUUGCGACCACGUCCCCGGCCACGGCUCCAUCUUUGUGGCCCAGGCUUACAGAAGCAGGGGUGGUCUUGAGGCCCUUUGAGCCCCGAGGUUGGUCGAGUCCCAAGGUGAGUGGCCUAGGACACCGGCUCAGGCCUUCGGAUUCUAAACCCCGGGCUGAGUCAGAACGCACUGGAGCUGAAACCGAAUCGGGUCUGGAGACCCCUGAGCUUUGUAGCCCGGUGUGGCCGGCACCAAGGUAGUGAGUGGAGUACGUGUUGUUAUGUGGUAGCUGUUUUAAUGCUGAGAGUGAGGGGCUCCGUUCUGAAUGUUCGCGCAUGGUGGGGGAAGGGUAUCGUGGAACUGAGGCUGGGGAAGGCUGCUUAUUCGGAGUUUUGAACCGAGUUGUGAUCUAGCUCUUGGAUCCGAGUUGGGUAUGUGUAUGUGUGGGUCUACAGUGGUUCGGAGUCUAGAGUCAUGAUUGGAAUCGGGUAGAGAUUCGGGUCUGGAGCCGACUCGGAAUUCAGGUGUGGAGGAUUGGGAACUUGGGGUGGAGGCCGCAGAGGUUGCAGUGGGUUCUUAACCUUCCUUGUGCUUUGACCCUUUAAUACAGUUACUCAUGUUGAAGUGACCUCCAAACAUAAAAUUAAUUUCAUUGCUACCUCAUAACUGCAAUGUUGCUACUGUUAUGAGUCAUUAUGUAAAUACCUGUGUUUUCCGAUGGUCUUAGGCGAUCCCUAUGAAAGGGUUGUUCAAGCCUAAAGGGGUCACAACCCACACGUUGAGACCUGCAGAGUCAGAAUCAGGUCUGAAUUGGGGGAGUUACCUCCAGAUUUUCAGUUGGGAUUUGAUUCUUUUCUGUGGUUUUAAAUUGAGAUCCCAGAGGCUCAGGUCUCUGUUGGGGACCCGACUGAGGGUUUCUAGUUAUAUUCAGGACCUGACUGGGCAGUACAGUAAGAAUUAAAGUUGGUUUUGAGUGUGAGCACAAUGGUCUGAGGUAGGGAUCAGGACUGAAGUAUAAAGAGUCUGGCUUUUAACAAGUGGGAAUCACAUUUUGAGACAUGGGAUCCCAUGUGGGUCAGAGUUGAUUUAAAGGACUAAGGCCAGGGCCCAAACCUUAGUCCUCCAUUUUGUUGUUCUUGUUGGUCACAUUCCCUUUUCUGUAAAAUGGGGAGGAGUGCUUUCCGCUGUAACCUUUCUGGGCAUAAAAGGCAGUAAGUAAUUCAUAGAGGUAAAAAUAGUCUUAUCUUAAAUGAUUAAAAAGUGUAAAAUAUUUCUCAAUAGUAAUAAGGACAAAUAAUAUGCAUUUAACAAUCUUUUCUCAUACGGUGUGCCCUUUGUUAGGCACUACCAAAAAGGAACCUUUUCUGUUCUGUUCCCUAGAGCUUGCCCCACCCAGCCAUGGGCCUAAUACACAGCCAUCCUCAGGCAGUACUUGCUGAAGGAAAGCAGGCAGGCAGGAUUAACCAGAUUUCUAUGGUGUCUUAAAUGAUCCAUUUCUGCACCUGUUUUCCAGAUACUAGGAUAAAAAUUUAAAGGAUUGGAUUGCUUGAUUAUAGUUCUAUUUUAAUGUGUUACCAAACACACUGAAGAAAAAAAGUGGAUCUGUUUUGGGAUUUGUGCUCCAGCUAGAAGGAUCUUUUAAAAUUUCGAAUCAGAGCAUGUCCAAAUUCAAAUAAGGAGAGCACAAAUAAAGAAAAUUAUGAGGCACUUCCCUGGUGGACAUAGAUGAAGGUCCACUUACAGUAUUAACUAACUGAAUCCAAGAGAAUUUUGAACAACAGUUCUUAGACAAGUAGGAUUUCUCCUUGGAAUAUAAAGAUGAUCCAAUAUCAGAAACUCUAUCCGUGUAAGUCACAGUAUUAGGAGACUGCAGGAGAAAAAAAACAUAUGGUUUUCUCAAUAGAGACAGAAAAUUUACAUGAUGAAGUUUGACGCCUAUGUAUGCAUUUGAGGGGGCUGGAAGGACAUUACUUAGGAAGCCAAAAACUAGAAGAGAAUUUCCCUAACUUGAUACAGUGUAUAUCCAAAUUUAACUUUUAAGUAAACUUUCGGGAGAAACUAUUAUUCCUGGUAAGAUAAGGAGCAGGCCAAGGGCAUUUUCCUAGCCACCUCCUAAUAUAAGGAAAAGAAAUGGAGAUGUAAGACUUCCGUGGCAGGAAGAGUGAAACUAAUGACUUAGAAUAGUUGUAUUUGUAUUGGGGUUUGCAAACAUUUUGAUGUUACAAUCUUUGUGUACUUAAAAAAUUAUUAACUUCCCCCUCCCCACAUUUAUUUAAGAUGGACUAUAUUUAUUGGUAGUUACAAUCUUAGACAUUAAAAUUAUGUGCUUAAACAUAGAGCUGUAUAAUGGCAUAUUCCAGUGAGGUCAUAUCUCUGGAAAACUCUGACUUUGUGAGAAUCAAAAUAGAGACUGCAGAUGAGUUAUGGGCGUAUUUAUUCAUCAGACCAUCACCUUUCCUGGGAGGGUCUGAGAAGGCUUCUCAGAAGUUUCUUUGGACUUUUCUUUGAAAACUGCUGAACUACCUGAAAGAUAAGGCUUUGCAGCAAAAGAAUUAUUUGGGUAUAUACAGUAUACCCAAACAAACAAAUUUUAAAAACCCCACAUUUCUUUAUAACAAUUGUGAUGUAAAAGAUGUAAGAAGUGCACUCAGAUACAAAUUAGAAUAGCAACAAGAUUGUCUGGUCUAUACUUUUUUUUUUUAAGACAAUGUUUUUGGGAAAACUGUAAAUUCCCAUUGGAGAUAAAGGAAGGUAUUUGGAUGUGCAGAGACAUUUGUUUUCUUGGAUGGGAAAAUUUAGCGUUAGAAUCCUCAGUAUUUUGCAAAUCUAUAAAUUUAGUUAGAUUGCAGUCAGACUUCUAGCUGGAGGAUUUAACAUCUCUUCCUCAAAAAAUGUAUGUGAAAGAGAAAGAUGUACAAAUGCCAAGUGAACUUUGAAAAACAUUCCAUGGCUUAGCAGCCAGAAGGGUGGAGUGACAGAGACCCAGAACAGAGCUCAGUGAGCUCAGCCCCGAGUCUGGGGAAGGUGACAUGUGAUCAAAGUGGCACCACAUAUCAGUGGAACCUCCUUGGAAGAUGUUAAAAAACAAGUAAAAGAGAAACAUCCUGUGAACUCAGAGUCCUUAGAAAGGGGGAGCUCCAAACUGUAAGUAAAAGGUAGUUGCUAUUUAUUAAGAAAAACUAUAGAGAAUAUUUUCUAGGGUAGGGUGGAAGUCUUAAGUAGGAUAAAUCUCAAGACUCAAAUUUAUGAACUUGAAUCGGUGCAAAUUAAAUUUCUAUGAACCAAAUCCAUCAUGGCCAGUGCCACUAGUUCCAUAAUUGAAAGACAUGAUUUGCCUUUUUAUCCCUUCUCAUGCAAAGUUCUGCCCAUGACAAAUUACAAGAUAAUCAGAAUACUAAAACCAGGGAGCAGCAGCUAAGAUGACGAGAAAGCAAAUCAGAGGAAAAGGUAAGACAAGAAACUCGCAGGAGGGUUACCAGUGAAGAUAUGCUCAAACUGAAGUCACCAGAGAAAUGCAAAUCAAAGUGACAUUUAUUUUUCUUCUGAGAACCCUUAGAAAGUAGGAUAAUGCCAAGUGUUGGCAGAAGGUAGGGAGCGAGACUCCCCGCCUGCCGCAGGUGAGAGGGGAGACCGACACAGACAUUCUGGAAAGCUGGCCAGCAUUUUUUUCCUCAAAUAAAAUAUUUUAUACCUGCGGCGCAACAGUUUCCCUCCUGAGUAAACAUGCUGGAGCAGUUCUCCCCCAGAACAAGGAGAGGCUGUGUGUGCCUGCUCAGCACAGCAUGGCCUGGGGGUGGUGGGGUGGUGGGCAUUUGGCUCUGGUUGCUGUGGUUAGAAGCAGGGGACUAGAUGUACACUUCACAAGAUGGAGACACAUGAAAACGGUGCUGAGUGACACAGACAGCAAACAGAAGGAGGGUUUCAGUCCCUGCCUCGGUGUUUAAAUUCAAAUUACACUCCUCCCAGACCUGCGCUAACUGGGCAUACUGUCCAUACAUACAAUGAUAUUAAUAAGCUACUCCAGAGCAGCUGUCUGAGUGGAAGGGAGUGGGGGUUACAGGAUGGAGAUAGGAUGCAAAAGCAUGGAAGGAGCAGAGUGGUCCUUUUAAACAGACCCUUUCACAGUAACAAUUUUAUGGGCAGAAGGCUGUGAUUUACUCUGUGUGUUAUGCACCAGGACCCAAGAGCCAAGUAUGAAGAAGUGAAUGCGCACCCAUCACUCUCCUGCCAGAUACCCUUGUAGACUCCUAUUUCUAGGAACAUCAGCUUUUUACAAGGUUGGCUUGCCCUGAGCUCUGACCAUUUCUUCUUCUCUUGCUGAGCUCGGGCCUCAGCAGCAUUCUUUGUGCACACGUGUUCUAGGUACAUGCAUGGGUGGGGUCCAGAGGUCGAUGCUAGGUGUCUUCCUCUAUCACUUUCCACUUUCUUUUUUAAAGACAGGAGCUCUCACUGAACCUGGAGCCCACCAUUUUGUUUUGACUGGCUGGCCAGUGAGUCCCCUGGGAUCUUACUUAGUGUCUAUAACCUAGAACUCCAGUCAUGUGCUGCCAGACCUGGAUUUUAUGUGUGUGCUUGGGAUCUGAGCUCAGGUUCUCAUGAUUUCCAGCAGUCACAAUUCCCAGCAAGUACUGUAGCUACUGAACCAUCUCCCCAGCCCAAUAUCAUUUUUUUAAAUUAUAUCAGCAAAGUAUUCCUCCCGCUUCAGGGUCUUAAGGUUAGCCACUCUGCCUGACUUUUAUUUUCCUGUAAUUCUCAUAUCUCACUGCAAGUGCCUUUUCUAACCUGCCAUAUCAAUUAGUCUCCUCAGCUAAUUGCUACGUCAGUCUCAGAAGCAUGGGCUACACUGUGGUAUUCUUGUUCCUUGGGCGUGUCCACUUAAGUUAGCUGCCUGUCUCCUCCACCAGAAGGGAGGUCCUGGGUGAGCAUGUGUGUCUUCUCUGUAGGGUUAGCACUCUGCAGGCAUGUCACACAUUUCUGGUCAGUGGCUUCAUUGAUUUGUUAAAUGAAAGGAAAGAGCAGGCCAGGAAAGUGUUCUUCCACUUUCAGAAUUCAGUGAGAAAGUAAGUGGUGAAGAUUUCUUAACUGCCACCUUGGUGUUAUCUGGUGAAGGAUGGGGGUUGAGGGGAGAGGGGUGCUCUGUGUUGUAGUAUGUUUCGCAGCCUAAAUGGCAUUUACCUAGUCCAAGUAAUCCCCUCACAGUUGUGAUAACAAAACCUGCCUCCCAAGGUUACCACAUAGCCUUUGGGGUGGGGGUGGGGGGGCACUCCCUGCCAGGUCUGCCUUAGACUAGUUGCAAGGAGCUAGAAAGCCUUUCAGCUUUAAACACAGGGUCCUUUAAACACAGCGGACCCUGGCCUUUAUCCUGCAAUGCCCUAAAUCCAUGCCCUUAUGGUCCCUAUGAAGACGACCCUGGCCUAUGCCUGUAUAAUAGAAGCACCUCCACCUCUGCUCAUUGGUAUAAAUAUAUUUUGACAGGUAAUCCUGUCCUCACAAUGCAUGGGGUUCCAUUAAAAUCUUUACAACAUUCUUAAAACAAAUCAACGAACAAACAGAACCCUACUUAUUGUUAUGUUGAUGAAUGUCUUGUCUGCAUGCCUGUAUGUAUACCAUGCAUAUGCCUGGCAUCCCCGAGGACAGAAGGAAGGAUCAAUCCCCUGGAAACUGGAGUUUCAGAGGGUUGUAAGCCGCCACAUGGGUGCUGAGAGACAAAUGUAGGUUCUUUCUACAAGAGCAGUGAGUAUUCUUAGCCACCGAGAUAUCCCUAACCCCGGUUACAGCCAUCCUUUAGCUGCAGUGCCUAAGUUGUGAGGCAUUGGCACCUGCACCUUUACCAGUUUGGAGCCAGCUUGGAAAGAGGCUGGGUUGGGUCUUCUCACAGCUGCCAGUUAGUACAGACUAGUAAGUGGCUCUUGUGAACAAUAGAUCCAGAAGUUUACAGUACACUUAGGAGGAGAAGAGGGUUUGCCUCAGAGAAGGCUGCUUGGGAGAGUAAGUGGGUGGCCUCUAAUACUGGGUUUCCUUUCCCUGUGCUUGCCUCUGAUAUCAGCCUUUGCCAUGGUCCUCUAUGCUGCCUGGCCCCAGAAAGUCUGGGUCAGUGGCCAGAGUCCAGACUCCCAGGGUCCUGAUCAGAGUCUUCAGGAAGGCCUGAAAGAUUAGAGCACAGAACUCUCCUAGCCUCUCCCACUGGGAACUGAAAGCUUCCCUGAGUCUUUCCUAGGGACUGAGACCCUUGUUUGCAAUUUAAAUGUGCCCUCCUUUAUGGAAGAAUCCCAGCUCCUUGAAGAGCCUUGAGCUCACCCUCCCUAGCAGUUGUAGCCUUAGCCAGGGGAAGAAACUGAUCUAAUGGGCCUUUCUCCUAAUAAUGCUAAUUGUGGCAAUUAGGCUCUGCGAAUAGAGAAGGGGCAGGGCCAGGCCCACUAGUUUGCCCCUAGCUCAAAUCCAGGCCUUCUUACUCAGGCUGCUGUCCAGGUUAACUAAGCCUGGUGAAGGUACUAAAUAAGCAGAGGUUCAGCAGAGGGUGGUUGAAGCCUGCUGGCUUCCAGGGGCAAUCACAGUGGAUAUGGAUCUGAGUCUAAUGUUCAGUCUAGUAUCCAUACAGGUGACUCUGGGCCUUGCCAUGUGAUCCUCCCAGAAGAGGGUCUAACUGGAGCAUAAAGAUGGUUUGAAUUAAUCAAUAGACCAAUAUCUACCCUUUCCUCUCUCUCUCUCUCUCUCUCUCUCUCUCUCUCUCUCUGUCUCUCUGUGUGUGUGUGUGUGUGUGUGUGUGUGUGCGCGCGCGCGCGCGCACGCGUGAGAGAAAGAGAGAGGGGGGGAGAGAGAGGGUGAGGGUGAGGGCGAGGGCAAGGGUGAGCAGGGGAGGGAGAAAGAAAGAAGAGUGAGCAGGGGACCAUGGAUAAGGGCUUAUCUGGUCUGGCAGGAAGUUAGGUUUUGAAGCAUAUGGCUCUAUGGAUUAAGAAACCAUUCCUCAGCAUGGCCAAUUAGUAGAUCUAAUCCCCUCAACCUCCUAACAUAUACUAAAGGAUCAAUGUUUCUUCACUCUGCAGGGUCUUGCUUACAAAGCACUCUGGGUCCUGUUCUCUCUGGGAGCUGGGAAUCUGGUCUAAUGAAAGGAAACACAGCACAGGCAUAGGCAGCCUGAAUGCUUAGUUAUUCAAAGGUUACACCGUAGCUGACUUUGAAUCAGUAUAUAGUGUCUGCACGGUACAGAGCCUUUCCAGGAAGUGAAUUAUGUGUGGGAGGCAGGGAAGUGAUUAUUGCUCCAUUUUAUAGACUCAGCCAUUCCACACAUACUUGUUGAAAGUCCACCAUGCAUCGCACAGCUGUCUCGAGGAGGGAUUUUACAGGAGUCAGGUCACGCCUGUCCUAUGGUGCUUGUGUGUUGUUAUACACUGAAGGGAAUAUUCUUUGAGGUCUGGAGAUAUAGAGAAAGGUCUAUUAGGAACCAGCCAGAACCCAUGUGGGAUCCUAGUUAGGCGCUAAGACCAAGAGGACACUGUGGAGGAGGGAACACGAGAGAAAGAAGCUAGCUUUCUAAACCUGGGUACAGAUCUUCAGUCCUUGCUUCCUGUGAGGAUCUUGGGUUUGUUCUGAGACCACUGAGAGCUGCUAAGGCUCUAAGUUCCCAUUCCAUUUAGAUCCCAUUCCACUCAGGGAACUAAGUGGAAUCCACAUUUUAAAAGGCUCUUCCUCCUGAGUGGAGGGGAAUGGAGGUUAUCAGAAGGUGUUGUGGCCUCCCAGAGGAGUGACAAUACAAAAGGAGGGAAUGGGCAGAGGGGGUAAGCAGCCUGGCUUGGUAGUGGACUAGUUGGGUCUCAGCUAGGAAAGAAGGCGUUGGAAGUGAUUGCAGGGUUUCAGGUUUACACUACUGGGAGAAUUUUUGUUUGGGGUGGAGCAUGAGUUGGAGGAGUGGAGUAUGAGGUGACAGAUAUGGUGGGUCCAGCUAUUGGAAAGUUAGUUUUUGUCAGUCCAGGAGCUCCUGGUGCUGAGGGAAGGGACCAGCAUAGGGAAAGAAGGGCAGCACUACUUAGUGGGUGUGAAACUGGGUGCAGAGCUAGCAUGGUGACCGGGGAUAGAUGGACAGGAAAGAGGAACCCAUUCUUGCAGAGGUCACGUGGAGUCAAUGUUCUAGUCUUAUGAGGGUUGGCAGUGGACAGCAACCAGCCUAGAAUGUACCUCCUGCCAGUAUGACUAUGACACUUGCCUUCCUCUGUGACUAGAGAGAAGGCCUUAUUUCUCAGUGGUUCUGUUUUCUCUCUGCAUUCCUAGAAUCAAGAGUAGCAAAAGAACAUUUCUCCAUAGAAUGUGCAGGGAGGGUCACCUCCCUCAGGAGGCCUCGUCCUUGCUAAAGUAUUUCAUAAUCUUGGAACGAUGGAAAAUCCUUCUACCCAUUUUAAUGCAAAGCUGGGCAAGCUUUAAAAAAAAAAAAACAAAAAACAAACAAGUGGCCUUGAAUAGGCUGAGAUGAAAAGCAAAGAGGUUGCCAACGCUAGAGACUGGGGGAGGGGUGUGCAGUGGACAGGGAGAUUUUGGGUGGCUCCAAAGUUAGCAGUUUCUGAGCUUUACUGCUCAAACCUAGAGGCCCAAACCAAACAGAGCAGGUCCAGGGUUCAAGGUGCAAGGGGGCAACAGCCCUGUGUGGAAGAUGUCUCUUUCUUGUCAUUGUUCCUGAUUAGCUGUUCAAACAGCCUUCACAGGUUCUGCAAAAAAAAUGGUUAACUAUGGGUCCUCUAUAUCUUCUACUUGGUAAUUUUUAAACACAGCUGAGCCCCGGGUGCCCCUCCCAGAGGCUCAGAGGCCAGAGGCCAGAGGUCAGCACAAACUCUACACCACGUCUGCCUAGCCUUUACCUCAUGUGUCUACCUAGGAAUGAUGUACAUUAGAGUAGAGGCUCUGAUACCUCCCUCGCUCAGGUGCCAGAUCAAGGCUUCAUCCUCUGCCCUUUGCCCAGGGUUUAGUGGGGUUUGCUAAUAUUACUUAAUUCCUGAAUGAACCUUUCAGGUCAGCAUAAAAGAGCUGGGAUUGUAUGGCAAAACCCGGAUGGGGAAGAUGGCUCAGACUGUUAAAAACAAGCUCCCAGCAGUGGGAGGGAAGCACCCCCUCCUUGAGGCCUGAGGUCAGUGUUCCCAUUAAUCCUUCUGCCAAGGGAUAUGUACCUAAAGGUUCUAGGGUCACUUCUGAGAAAUGGCAUUUGAUAGCUACAUGUACUGCCACAACUGUACACAACCAAGUCACACACAUUCAUCCUGUUCCCAGCCAGGGCCCAAGACUGAGUCUCAUUCCCGUUUUACCUUCUCUUAGCCUGGGUGCCUCUACCUUGUAAUAGAUGCUGAGACCUACUUAGACCCCAUGACUGUGCCUGACAACCAAAGAAGCCCACCUUCUGGUGUCACCCACCUCACCCUAGCUCUCUGUGAUUCCAGCUUUUCUAAGGAAGGCAGGUAGCCUCUCAACCAGUCAUAUGCCCCAUGCCAGACAGUCAUGCCAGCCGCUCCACUGCUCGUUAACUACCUUUAGGCCUUGUGGACUUCAUGUUCUAUGGAUGCGAUUUAGUACUCCCAAGAGCACCACAAGAAAGGGGAUAGCAAGCAAGAAGAAACUCAGCCACAUAAGAAGGACUUGUUUGAGGCCACUGGGUGCCUGACAAGAGUCCUGCCUCUGGGGAAACCAGUGCUCCAUGUCUGUAACCUUGACAGAGUGCUCUUGGAUUUAUGUUUUCAUAGAAGCAGUCUGUGGAGGGCUAGAGAGGCAGCUCCUGUUUUCCUGGGUCCCUGCUUGGGAAGUCACAGCUAUCACUGUUGAGAAAGGCAGCCCAGGUUUGGAGCAGUUGGAGGCUAUCCCAAGAGUAGGUUGGAUGUAGAGGUGUGGGUGCAUAUAAAUGCCAUCCUGGGUAAAUGGAAAGGCCACAGGCCACCGUGAUAAGGUACCACUUCCUCUUCCUGCCUGGUGGGCUGCUUCAGUACCAAAAUGUCCUGCCACUAACUUGGUAUAAACAAAUGGGCGUGAUCCAAAUGCAAAGAACAGAUGCCUCUAGCCCCCACUCCUGCCCUGAUUUCCUCAGUGGGCUUAUGUCUCCUCUCCAUUCUGUUUCUAAGACCACCUAAACUUCAAGAAUCUGGAAAAUAGCCGCUACACAAAUGUUUAUAUUCUUCUUGGUUUGUCAUUCAUUCUGUUCCUCCCAGAGAGGCCUAAAUGCUGAGAUACUGGGCAGAGGGCAAGGAACAGUACUGCCCAGAUCUCUCCAGAGGCUGCCAAGAGACAAGGCUGUAGUUGUAGUCUUUAGGGCCAUCAGCCCUACAUGAUGCUGUCCUCCUCAUUCCCUUUUUCCUAUGGGUGGGCUUCUUCCCAUGGGCCACUUCUACCCAAAGCCAUGUGAAAAGCCUUAAGUUCUAGAGGGAUAACCUGAGGGUGGCACUGAGUUGCAGGGUGCAAUGAGAGAUUAUUGCAAGGCUGGUAGAACCCUCCAUCUGCAGGGCUGACUUCAAAGCUGCUGCUGGGCUUAGCCUGCUGCAUCAAAGUCAGCCAGUUAAACAGUUUUCACAUAAAAGGGAGAGUGGAGGGUUUAAAAGCCUUCCCGUGAAGACAGGCAGGCAUUCCACCCUCUUCUCAGGCACAAGAGCCACUAGAGGAGAAAGUAACUGCCCCUUAAAGACACAGAAAUCACCUUACACCCUGGUUUAGGGUUUGAAGACUACAGCCUUAGGUACAAGCCUAGUGAGGCACCUGUGUGGAGGGAUCCUCCAUUUGCAUUCAGCUCCCUGCUUUAUAUCUGGCCUUGUAUUUUGCUUCCCUUCCCUCAGCACCUAUGUUUUUGGGGUGGGGGUGGGGGUGGGGGCAGGCUAUCUGACUGGAUUAAGGAGAUGUAUGGUAUGACAGCCCUGAGAGAACUCAGAGUCAGGCUGCUCAGGUUGGAUUCUAGCUUUUAGUCUAAACAAUGGCUUUAUACAGUGCCUUUCUUCCAGUCCUAGCAGCCUUGUGUGAAUACAUUUAGAGGAGACCCUCGUUCAGCCUCCCCAAGAACUCCCUGGGAAGAUCCAGGAGACUCUACCUUGCUCUCUGUCUCCCCACUUCUGCCUUCCUCUUUGCCCCCCCACCCCCACCCCACCGUUGGGUCCCUUGCCUGACUCCAGUAUACUGUGAUGGCAGAAGUACCAAUGUCUCCUCUCAAGCAGAGCCUAACCCAGCUUGUGCCUUGCAGAGUGCAGAGGGGUGCUCACCCUGCCCUCCUUCAGGGAGACAUCAAAGGGAAACUGGAAGCAUUCCCUGCUGACCCCCAGUGAGUGGGAGAAAAGCAGCAGCUUGGCUCAGCUGGCUGGGCUGGGGAUUUUCCAUCCUACCAACAAUAUCCACAGGAUAGAUACCCCACUCUGGCUUUUGAGGAACCAGGAACCCUCAGGAACCAGUGUUUGAUUUGCAGCCUGAUGGUGCCAUGAAGGGCUCAUUGGCAUUGGGGCAUGGCUAGCCACUUGAGGAGUUCCCUAUCCUCAUGAUGUGCUGACGACUGGUUUGAAAUCUUAGCAUUUCUCACCCUAGCAGAAUACUACCUCGCGGUCCCCUGAGAUCUAGCUAGGGGAGAUCACAGUUUGUGUGGGGACCCAAGAAAGGUAGAGAGAAGACUGCCUGCCUUUUCUCUAUCAGCUGCUUAUCCCCUAGGCCUUUUGUGGAGUGCACACUCCAGCCUCCGUAGCAGCUCAGCACAGCCCAGGCUAUCCUAGACUGUCCCAAGUCCUCAAGGGUUUCAGCACCUCCCAAGCUAAGGGAACAGGAAGUCCAGAAAUAGAAGUCAACAUUUAUGCUAAACCAGGGUACCCUCCCCCCUUUGACUAACAUGGGCUUUUGGCAGCUUCUGGUUCUCAGAUCUCCAUGCACAAUUUGUAGGCUAAAUACUCUACACUACUCAGGAUAUCUAAUCCUGUCCCUCAAGAGUUAGACUGUCAGGUUUUUCUGAGUCACAGCAACCUUAGGCCUGGUAAGUCAUAGUGAGCAUGUUUCCCUCUUCAGCCUAGAACUCACAGGACGGGCCAAAGAGAAUGCAGUAUGGUUUCAAGGAUGUCCAGGGCCAGCAGCACUACCUGAUGAGAUGAGACGAGAUGCUUGCCUGCUCCAUCCUGCCAGGGUCUGGUCACACAACUAGGCUGGAGCAGGCUUAGAGGGCAGGAUUAGACAUAGUGAGAUCCAACAAAGGCAUAGAAAAUAUCAGAAGUGAGAUAGCAAGUCAGGCCUUAGGCUUGUGCUUCCUGUGUUCCUGUCAACGCUGGCCUACUCUAUGAUUAUGGAAAAAGUAGGAAAAAAAUCUUUAGAGAAACCUAAGUACCAAUGUGGCUUUUGUAGCAGACUGAAUUGUGGGAGGCCCUGGUGAAGACAUAUUGAGCUUUGACAUGUGAUUGUGCCUUAGCUGAGGUCUUCUCUCCCCACCUCUCUCAGCCAAAACAAGGACUCAGUUGGGUCCCAACUCCCACAAGGCUAUCUUCAAGUACUGUUCUACAGAUGGAGGUGGGGGGCUGUUUCUCAUUUCUGCCAAAGUCAAGGGACACAGAGAAGGUAGACCUGUUGCUUUUCUAGUACCCAGAAGUGGAAAGGUGGACGGGAAGGGGGAGGUUGGUCAGAAAGCCACAUUUUGCUUCUCAUUCCCACAUGAAAAAAGAUGGCGCUGGGGGUUUACCCAUCUGUUCCUCUAUAUCUUGUCUUUGGCUGGCCUAGGCCCUUAUCUCACCACAUGCCACUCCGAAGAGAGACGGAAACGACAAGAGUGGGCUAAACUAUUUGGACUGGGUAAAGUCAAUAAUAGGCAGUGCCCGAUUAAGAACUAGGAGGACCAUGUCUUCCUAAGUCUCAUGGUAUGCUCCAUUCUUCAAGGGGAGCCAUUCCUGUAAGAGCUGGUGUGACAGAUUUGAAGUGGCUGUGCCAGCUAAUGAGUCUUUUCCUCUGAACCAUGUAGUGAUAGGCAAGGCAAGUUGACAAGGAAGUUCUUUUCAAUUCGAAGAAGCUAAGGCAGUCAUCAAGCUUUGUCUUACCAGGAAAAUGUCAGUGUAUAUCGUUGGCUGUCUGGCUUAGAAGAGGCAACUGUGAAUGAUGGCCAGAGAGAAUCACCUAACACAAUCUGGUUAUGAACACAUUUGGGUCAUGGAGCAAGAGGCUAGCCCUGGAGGCCUAGUGGAUCCACAAGAACUCAGAGAGAGAACAAAGAGGCUCAGGGUCUUAGAGGCUUCUGAUCCACACAGAGAGAGUCAGGAAAGUUAUUAGAGGUGUUCCUUCAGCUAUGGGAACAACAUCUGAAAUGCUGGUACUCCAGGGCAGUGUGUGUGCUGCUGGAUAGCAGGAAGGCUUCUACUGAUGCCUGAGGCUUGCUCUAGCUCAUAAAUCUCCACUUCUCCUUAGCACUGUGAAAUGUUUACUCUGAACUAAGCCUCUGCUUUAACAAGUCAUGUUUCAAUAGGAAAACCUUCGUUGAUGGAAUCGAAUGCAAUUCCUCCUCCUCCUCCACGACAGUUACCCAUUCCUAAGAAAAACACAGCAUUUUGGCAAGCACCCAGGGCCUCAGGAACUAGCAUUUGCAGACAGUAGUGUGGCAGAUAUGAUGGCCUCAUGUGCAUCAAGGAGAAUCUGGCCUCUAUGUGCCUGGUCUUGCCAGUCCUUCAGACUGACAGUUCUGGAGUGCUCCAUCCUUCACUUCCAGCCCCAUUACCCAUAGAAGCCUUCAGUGGGAACUCUCAGACUUGGUGCUGGUUUAUUCCUAAGACUGGCCUGUUGCUGUGCUUUGGAGUUAGCCUAGCUAGUCCUACCCAGUGCUGAGGGUAUAUACACACAAACAUGUGGCAUGAUCUACCAGCCCUAAGGCAACAGUGUGUUUUCUUUAAACAGUAGAGUAGGUUUCCUGUAUGUACCUAGCUGCCAGAGGUUGCUGCUGUAACCUAGAAAUAGCUGCUGCCCCAAACCUUGAUCCACAGGGUUUUUUUUUUAAAAAGAUUUAUUUUUAUUUUAUGUGUAUUAGUGUUUGCCCACAUGUAUGUCUGUGUAUAGCAUGCAUACAUGGAACCCACAGAGGCCAGGAAAGGGCACCAGAGCCCCUGGAACUGGAGUUACAUAUUCACAAAACCAAGAUGGUUCCUUCCAUGUGAAACCCUUCUAAGAGAAUCAUCAAAAAUUACUGUAUUUCAUUGGUGCCUACAUUUCUAGAACAGCAGGCAGAAAGGGGUGCAUUGUAGAGAAUGGUGAUAAGAUAGCUUCUGGAGAUCCAGGACAGCCAGAGCUACACAGAGAAACCCUGUCUCAAAAAAAAAAAAAGAUGUUCCUGCUGGCAUUAACAGGGUCCAAAGCAGCCUUCCCAGCCCCAGGCUGGGUCCUAGGAGAACCUAAUUGAUUGCAUGGGAAACCUCAGUCAUUUACAUAUUCAUUUAUUUAUUUCUUCAUCAAACAUUCACUGAAGGUUCCUGAUGUGCUCUGAGUAGAUUAAGCACAGAAUAUAAAACACUGAAUGGAAGUGGUCAGUGUCUGCCCUCAUGGACCUUGAAUGGAAUUGACAGAGAAAGUCAGUAAACUUGUUACCACAAACAUGCGGUUAUACAUUAAAAAUGAGGGAUGGGGGUGCAGUUCUCCAUGGUUCAGUCUGAAGCUGAGGAAUAGCCUAGGCACGUUUCAGCCUAAAAUCAGCCCUAGCUUGUGAAGGUGAAAGUCAGAGGAGAGCUUAGCACGUUUAAAGAUGACGCCAAGAGAAUGUUACAGGAGCUGGGCACCUUCGGCAGAUCGACUAUUCCCUGGCUUUGUGACCUGGGCCCCAGACUUGAUCACUCUAGUUUCAGUUUAUCUCUAAAUCAGAAAUGAUAGAUAGUAUUCAUAUGUCAGAAGCUGCCGUGAGGAUUAGUGAAGUUAUAUGUAUAAAGCCCUCAGCAUAAUGCCUGAAAACUCUAAGUAGUAUUAGCUCAGGAUUAUUCUUUAGACUGACAUUGUGCUCGGAGUGAGCAUGUUUUCUCCUUAAACACUAGAGUGGUGGUUCUUUUGAAAUACCCAGAUGGUAAAAUCAGGACUCUCCUGUUACUCCUGCCCCUAGGACUCCUUCUGGAUGCAUGGGCAAGCUCUAGUGAGGCCUAGUACUCAGAAGAAAAGAGAAGGCUUUCCUCUACCCAUGCUCAGGAUGUUGUAGAGUUUUCUGGCUUCUUUCGGCUCCAGGAGCCUGUGUCUGUCAUAGAACAGCUUGGCUCAGCCUAGAACCGGCACUCAGAGCUACCUUUUGGAGAUGAGUACAAUGUAUAUGCAUGCAUGUCCAUCAUUUGUGCACACAUUUAUUUGUAGGGCACAGCUAAAAAUCUCCAGAAAUAUCCUGGGGAAGAUAAAAUUCUUUCUAGGCUUCAUGGUAUCCUAGUGGGGACCACCAAAGCCUCACUUCCUACCCAGAGUCUGAGGAUGGUAAGGUCAACUGGUUCCAUUGUUUCCAGAGUGCUCACAGAAAUCACCAAUCUUUAUCUGAGUUAGCUUAGCCCCAAGAGCCUUCACAUGGGGGUGAAGAAUGAGUUAUAAAACUAGGGGUCCCCGGGUUGGAGAGACAGACAAAACAGAGGAGAAUGGUUUGUCCUGGAACUCACAGAAGAGAGCAUCCUGCUUCUGCCUCCUAAGUGCUAGGUCUGCAUCUAAUCUACCUUCUGUCAAAGCUAGUGGGCUUCUUUCUAGCCUCCCACCUUCCCUUAACAUAAUAUAAAAGCACAUUCCUUGGAAUCCUUGGAAUCCACCCGUCCCCCAGCAUUGAGAAUAGAAUUAUAGAAUUUUCUCUUUCUCUCUCUCUGUAUGUGUAUGUAUACACACACAUUCUUAAUGACAUUUUCUAAAAUACUGUUGUAAAGUCUUGAAGUAAAAAUUCCACUGGUAGUGGGGCCAGAGCGAGAAGAAAAAAAAUUCCAUUGGUGUGUUAAUCUGACAGUGCUACAUAAUAAAAGAACACACACCUAACAAACCUAUGAUGGCUAAUAUAAAACUCUUACAUAUUAGCCAAGAAGGUCUGGCAGUUUAAAAAAUAUAUAUAGACCUGAAUUAAGAUCAUAGCAGGAUGCAAAAACAUAUACAACCUGGGUGAACCUCAGAGGUGGGCAGACGGAGGGCUUCAUUUUCUUUUAAAGAUGGCAUGCUGCUUGGCUCAAUUCAUGUAACAUUGCUAUAAUGCCAUGUGUGGCAGUAUAUGCCUUUAAUCCCAGCAUUCAGGGGCAGGGGCAGGUGAAUCUCUGAGUUUCAGUCAGGGUAUAUAAUGAAACCUUGACUCAAAGGAACAAACAAAUUUCAGUGACGUACAGGCUAGUAAUUGCCAGGGGAUCAGGAAAGUAGGGCUGGAUAGCCUGAGGUACCAUAAAGUGGCUGUACAUAGGGGCCCUUGAGGCCACAGAAACAUUCUGCAGUGGUGCUGUACCCUAAGCUUGAUACGUUUCUAUAGUUCUAAAUAUGUUGCUGGAGGAAACUGGUCAAAGAGUAUAGGGAAUCUCUUUGCUAUUGUUUACAGGCAUAUGUCAAUCUGUGGUUACCUUAGAAUGGAGUGCUUAAAAAGUUACAUCUCACUUAAGUCAGUAGUACACUUAAAGAUACCAAGAGGUGAAUUAAAAAAUGUAAGAGGAAGAUGGAUGGGUGGGUAAAGAGUUAAACAAUAUAGAGACUUUCUAGUUCACUUGAGCAUUGGGAACAGGGACUUCUCCUUAUGAAUGGACGUUUUCUAUUUACCAAGGUGAUUCUUCCUUCAUCUAAAAUAUCAGCACAAUAAGGAAGGUUACACACAGGUGAGUUAUGCUAAGUCUUGUGGAAAAUGUGGCAUGUCCCAUGUUUCUGAAGCACCUGGAGCUACCCCUGUACCUCUGUAGUCUGACCUCACCCCUACCCCCUCAUCAUGGUAGGGUGAUUCUUUUGUCAAGGUGAGAAAGGCAAUGAUUCUAAGAUUAUGCUCCCAUUCUGAAUAACCAUAAGGGGCUGCAUCUGCCUUGCUUCUGACACUGAUACUAUUCAACCAGACUUCCCUCUCCACGGCCUUGCCAAGCAUGGAGAAAUGUGGGUUGUAGGUGAUAAAAGGUAAGCUGAUGCCUUGUGAUGGAAAAUGCAUUUAAGGAGCACAGCAGACAACCCAUGUCGAACACCUUUCUACAUGGUUCCAUAUUAAUACAUUUCACCCCUGAACAACUCAGGAAGAAUGUUCUUUUAGUAUGAUUUUAUAGACUGAAGGUCUAGAAUGAAGGAAGAAGUGGUGAAGCCUGGAUUAAAAUUUGGUUUAUAGCUUCAGAACCUGCUUUUUGACCAUGUAACAUUUUAGUUGCACAUCCUGAAAUAGAAGCACCAAUCAAGUAGUGGGUGUGGCAUUCCUCCCAGCCAUGGACAAGGUUGGAAAAACAUAAUUGUGCCUGGUGGCCCAGCUGAGAAAGGGACUGAGUCCUUGCUUUACAGAUCUUGCUGUGGAGCCAUUUUUACCUGUAUAGAUUAUAAUAGCACUCUCUGGCACACCCCCUCCUUUUGGUGACAGGAUUUAGGGGAGAGACUGGGCUAUAUGUUAAGAUUAUGGUACUUUUAAAAGUUUUUUUUGGGGGGGGCGGGAAGGGCAAUUUCUGGGGACUGAACCCAGGGCCUCCCACAUGCUAGGUAAGUGUGCUGAACUCUACUUGUACUCAAAACCCAAAAGACAAAACCUCUAACCCUUUGCCUUGAAUUACACAUUGUUCUCCUGUUUUCUCCGAAUGUGAUAAAUUGUCUUACAAUGGCCCUAAAGCAUGAUUAGAUAUGUACCCAGAUGGUUCCUGUGUCUGGCCAUAACAUACUCUUUGGAUGUUGCCUUAUGAGGGAGCCUCUAAGUUCUCAUGGUCCCUGAACAUGGUUAGCUAUUGAGGACUAAGUCAGGAGUUAAGGAUGUGUGUCACUCAUAGCCAUAGCCAUGCUUAGCUCACAGGCCAGUCUGGGAGCCACUCACUAGUUGAUACAUUGUGAAUGAACACUUCAUGCCACCUGGGUUUUGAUAAUGUACGAAGAAGCCAUGACACACAGAAGAACAUCUCAUAAAGUUAUAUAAUAACACCAGCAGGACCAGUAUAGUUCUAAGUAGAGCCUGGAAACAGACACAAAAUCAGGAAAUACAAUCAAGAUAGCUGUUAAAACCAGCAGAGCAAAGAUGGUAAGUUUAGUGUUGAAACAACCAUAUAACUGUGGAAAAUAAGUCGGCUUUUUAACUAUUCCAAAUCCAGAUAAACAAAUAAUAUAAACAUAAAGCAUGAAAUAAAAGAUGAUAGAAAACACGGGAGACUUCAUUAAGACAGUCACACAACGAGCUUAUUUCCAGAUCUGAUACAAACCCCUCAAAUAACCAGACUGAAAGAACUGACUUUGUAAAAAAAAAAAAAAAAAAAAUAUCCAAGAAACAGUGGGAAAAAGUGUUUUUAAGGAUAAAACCCUCAUGAUGGAGAGAUGGCUCAGUGAGUAAGAGGGCUUGGCAUGCAAACAUGAGGACCUGAGUUAGGAUCUCAGCUCUCAUGUCAAAAGGUGGGUGUAACUGCAUUCCCGCCUGUAACAGUACCUGUUGAUAGAUAGCUAGGAGGAUUGUUGGGCCUUACUGGCUGCCAGCUCAGGUCCAGGUUCAGGGAGAGACUCUAUCUCAGAGGAGUCAGGUAGUGAUAGGUCAGGACACCUGAUGUCCUCCUCUGGCCACUCCAUGUGCAUGGGCUCCUGCACAGCACAUGUGUUCUCCCUACACCCCCCCCCCAUCCAUGGACACACACCCCCAGAUAAAAGAAAACCAAAGCUGUAGCAUACUAUGCUUUAAGUCUUUCCAAUUAACAGGCCCAUCCAUAUGUACUCUUGUUGUCGGGAUCUAGGGAAACAGGCAUAUUUGGGCAGCAUUUACAAUAGUAUAGGGUCUGUUAGGCAUUAUCUACCUAAAUCCCAUUUAAAAUAAGUCGAAGAGACAUCUUAAAGUGAAUCCAUUUGAAAUAAAAAUCAAUACAUUGUGAUAAGCAGAUGAUUGGAAGGUUAUCUUGAAAAAGUGUUAAGUUAUAAAAAGAUUUGCUCAUAUAUAAUAACACUAAUGUCUGCAGAUACACACUUUUAGAAAAAUAACAAAUUGAAAACCUUUAUUUUGUAAAGCACUAUGCAGUACCAUCUUGCAGAGAAAGGAUGUUGCUGCAGAAGUAUGGCAAGGCCUGGCUGAUUUUGAGAGGGGCUGCCCUGAAUCUUCCAUGACCUCACCAACUCUCCCUUAAAAUGCUUAUCUAGAAUUAGCCUGGCUCUUCUUUUCAAUAGAUAACUGGUCUAACUGUCUGAUUUUUCCAUGGAGAAAUUCAUCAGCAAAUCUCUUUCCAACUUGAUGAAUUCUUCUAUAAGAUUUAUAGUUUCUCUUCAUAAGUGAUUUGCUUUGUGUGUGCUUAAUGUUGUUUGGUGGACAAGAGCAGCCUAGAAGGAGCUCAGUCAACAGAGAUGCCAGCAGGGAUAACAUGGAUGGGGAUGGGGAGGCACAGCCAUGUUCAAUGGGGAGAGCAAUUUCAGAGGGAACUAAUUUCAUAAGAGGUCGGUUCAUAAGUGAAUACACUUGAAUGGAUAAUCACUAUUUUUAGCUGCUCUAUACAUUCAUCAAUAGGGGACUUGUUCCAUAAAUCAUGGCAUAAUCAGAGGCUCUGCAGCUGUUAGUAGAAAGGAUGCUUGCUGCUUGUCUGAGUAAAGCUCUAUCUUCGAAUUCAUGUCCAUUGGUGCAGAGGGCCCAUGCUAAACGUGCAAAGUUUCAUUUGGCAUGGCCUCUGGGACAUAUGUCUCAGUCCCUGGCCACUGUGUGCUGUCGGACUCCUGAUUUCUGCAUUGUAUAGUAGCAUCCUUGGGAAUGUUCACUUUCUUCAUAGACUAUCCUUUGGAAGAGAGUCUGGGUCCACCAAUUUAUUAAAGGUACCUUUAGGAAGGUGGUUUUUUAACACCUAGUUUAGUAUUCCUAAUCCUGCACUACCAUCUACAUGACUUUGCCAGAUACUGUUGAGUUUACGUGUUGACUAGAAAUGCGCCUGGUUCCAGGAAUACAGCUAACAACCUGAGGAGAAUAGUGAGCACGUUCUGUCUGGAAAAAGCCUGGCCCAGAGCAAAGGCCACACCCCCCUUACAACAUCCCGGAAUCCCAGCCACGAGAAAAACAGCACUGUCACCUGCUCACUUGAAUGUGCAUUUUUAAGUAAAACUGCUACUCAGAGUUGCAACAUAUCGUAACAAGCCAGUCCUGUGCAGACAUCUGCAAGACUACGGCACCUACCUGUACAUAAGACACACGUACAAGUAUACAAGAAUGUGUGCCACCCAUGUCCAAAGGAGGCACAGAGACAUGUAUCUUUGCUUAUAUAAAGUCUCUGGGAAGACCUAGCAGAACUAAAAACAUUUAGGAAAAGAAACUUGGGAAUUAGGGUUGGGGUAGGAGACCCUUAGUUUUGUGUUUUUGUUUUUCUUUGCCAUAUUCCUUUCUGUACCCUAAUUUUCACUGUUUGAUUUGUGCAUGUAUACACAAGGAUGUGUGGUGCAUUUGUGGUAUUUUUUGAACAUAAUACUAGUAUAAAAGGUUUGCUUUGAUGUGCAGUGCAUUUUACUGUGAUGUUUGCUUUUUUAGCACAACAUUAAUACUUUACAAAAGUCUUGUUUGGACAUAGCAGGUGUAGUUCCAGAUUGGGAUCGGCUGCAGGCAGCCACAGUAUGCAUGCUGGGUGGACAGCAUGCCUGUGUGGAGCUGGGAGUCUCUGGUUCAUGUCACUCUGGAGCAGGGGCUGCUCUAGCACAAAGAAGGUUUUGAAAGGCAAAGGCAGAGCCAGAGUCAGGGCAGGCUCUGGGCAGGCUCCAAGAGAGCCAGCAACCCUCUGCUGAAGGGUACUGAACCCCAUUGCACAGGCGGGCACCUCCUGUGAAGUGAGAUUGCUACACAAGUCUCGUCAUUACAGACUUUUGAGUGCAGUGAUUCUGAAAGAAGAGAAUGAGUAUGGCGUGUCCUACUGUGCCUCAUUAAAUAUGGAAGUUUUUAUGUAACUUUCCUCCAUUUCAGGUAAUCUCAAAUUUGAUGAAUGAAGAAUGACAGCAGUUCAUCUUUCAGUUCAUUUGUGCCUCUAUUGAUCUAAUUGAAUGUUUUCUAUACAAAUUUAUUUUUAAAUCUAUCUUAGAUCUUAGUCUACAACCACAUUUCAUAUUGCCAAAACUGCAUUAGGGAGGGCCAAGUUAUCUUCACCAUUGAAACAGGUCUGCUCUGGAGCUAGUUUGGCUCUGUCUGUCCUGUGGAAAUGACACAAUGUUGACCUAAGAGGGGGUCCUCACUUCUCCCUACUGAGUCCCCAUGGUUGGGGAAGAAGAAGCUGUGAGCCCACCCCCAGACCUGCCCACUCAGGACAUGCCCAUGUUGGGCUUGUCUGUGGACUCUGCCCUUGGCAUCCCUGUUGCCCACCUGGGCUCUGGCAGAGAAGUUGGGCGGGAAGAGGCCAGCCGAGUACCCACCAGUAUAAGAGGAAACGGAGAGAAACAGCUCCAGUCAGCCCCAGAAGGGAGGCCUGGAAAAACUCUGCAGCUGGAGCAAACACAAAGGACUUUUCAGAUCCUGCAGUCAAGGUGCCCAGUGCUUUUUUUUUUUUUUUUUUUUUAAUACAGCUAUUAGGGUGACAAGCCUUUCCAAAGGCCAGCAGUUGGCGAGAGUUUCCAGGAAGCUGGUCUGGCAUGGGGCUGGGAUCAUAGCAACUUUUAACGAGUGAAGUUCAGAAGGAAAGAGUCAUCAGGAAAGGUUUAAGGUUCAACAAACUUUUUGAAUUAUUUUGCAAAAAAAGUUCUGGCUUUCCAAUUCAAAGGCAUGUUUCCCUGUGAUGGUUUUAAGCCAGAGCUUAUUUCAAAGGCAACACAGACUGCACGUUUCUAAUUCAUUCCCUGGAGAUAUUUGCCUAAUCCUAGAGACAAGCUUUGCAAGUGCCAUCCAGUGCCUGGAGACACUAGAGCCAUCCUACUAUCUUUUCAAACAGCCAUCCACCCACGUGUCUCUCCCCUCUACCAGUUUCUGUGGUUGGGAGUACACACAUGCACACACCUUCUCUAAGCAGGAAGCUGCUCUUUGCCAAAAGUGAAUGGAAUUCAGAUUUCCAGAGGGUAUCCUUGGUCUCAAGCUCCAACAGCCAUCUGACGAAGAAAGAUGCUAGUGUGCGCGCUGGGGCUGUGAAGAGAGGGGCUUCCGUGUCCAUUCAAAUCUUUCUGGGCCCCAAGAAAAACCAACAACUGGCUGUACUCUCCCUAGCCCCACCCAGCCUCAGUCACAUUCCUUCCCUUCCUGAGCCCACCCUGGGUGGCCCCACAAACCAGCUUCCACUCCUCCCUUCCCACCAGUGGGGAGACCUAACUCAUGUACUCAUUGAACAGCCAACAGUGAAAAUGAAGGUCACACUGCAAGCCCAGAACAGCUUAAAAGCAGAGAGAGAAGGGUCCUCCCCGAUGUCUGUUCUCACCCCAGUCAGAGGCUAUUCCCUUUUUCUCUGUCUAGCAGCCCCUAGGACUAAGCGUUCAUACCUUCCUGUGCUUGCUUCCAGGAAAUCCUAGCCUACUUCUGCCUGUAACAUUCUUGGUCCGGGAAAUGAAGAGGCUGCUGUUUGGGCUGCUGUAGACUUCGCUACUAGAACGUUCCAACAUAUUAGGGAUCUCUAUCCCUACCUAAGCCUUCCAAGCCCCAGGAUCCAGCAUCCCCGGGACUUGUGCAUUUAUAUAUGCUGACAUGGUUUUGAUAAUGAGUCACAGUAGGGAUCAGCAGUGACAAGGUAGACUGGUAGAUGGUUUCAAUGCCAUAGUCUCCUGGAAGCAGGAUUAUUUCUCCUGAGAUCAGUUCUGGAGGCGAUUGAGGCUUUGCCAUCUGGGCAUUGCUCUCUCACCUGGUUCUGGUUGCUACAAGGUGCUCAGCUUGUCUAAUUACAGUUGACUGUCUCUACUGUCUAUGGCUCUAAGGCCCAGUCUGAUCCUCUUGCUUGGUCAAAAGUAGUGUUGUCCUAGUGGAUUUUCUGGGUGUUCUGUAAAGUGUUAUUAUGGUUUUACUGGCCAGCCUUUCUUUCUUUCCUUGGCCAGUCUCAGGUCUCAUCUGUAAGUAUCUGCAUCAUAACCUCAAGUCUACCAACUUCUUCCUGGCAGAGUCUGUAGUGGGCUUGUCCUCAUCACCUUGGAAGGAUCUUCCUGUUCCAGUCCUAGGUUUUGUGCUACUUAAGAAAAUGCCCCAGGUAACUAGCAGUAAUGCAGCCAUUUGAUCUAGCCCUGCUGGAGGUGACUGACAGAACCCCAUACAGAGAAGAUAGGUUCCAUCAGUAAACAGAACAUAGGGGUAAGAAUUGGGCCCGCUUUCUGGCUCUGGUUAUGCCAUUAGGUGGCCUUAUACUCUCUUAUCUCUGAUUGACUUCCAUUCUCUUGUCUUUACAUUAUAUGACACCUCCAAGGAUGUUGUGACCCAAACCCAGACUUCAUGGUCUCCUGAGAUCCUGUGAUGGGGCCAUUGCCCAUUGUUGAGACAGUCUGGUAAAGAAAAGCCUGGUAGCAUGGAGUAUGCAAAGCCUUAGGGAAGAGUACCUGUUUGAGACAGGUCUCAUUUAGCUCAGUUUGUUCUCAAACUCAUUGUCACUGAGGAUGACUUUGAACUUCUGAUCUUCUUGCCUGCAGCUCCUGAGUGCUGGGAUUACAGAUAUGUACAACUAGAUCUAGUUUAUGCCGUGCUGGGGGUCAAACCCAGGGCUUCAUAAAUGAUAAGCCAGCAGCUCUCUAACUGCUAAACCACAUCCCCAGAGGGAAGAAUAUCUUCAGUGAGGCCCUGAGCCUCUGGGGUGGACUACUUUACCCCUCCCCCUGUGCACAUAGCAUGCUAAGUUCAGUGAAGCCUGGAGCCUUUUGUCAAGCAUUGCUCCACUGAAGGUUGACCAUGCUGCCCCCCCCCCCCCCCCCCCCCCCCCCCCCCCCCCCCACCCCGACACCCCAGGCACCUGCAUCUGGAGCCCAUACUCCUAGCUGGUAGAGUUCAUAGGGUAGGUUUUUGUUUUCUGAAAAAGACUAUUUCAGUGUUUUGAAUUAGCAGAGUUUCAAUUUAAUUUAACAAUUUCAAGCUCGGCGGUGUUGGCACAUGCCUUUAAUUCUAGCCUUUUAAACUGCCAAGAGGCAGAGGCAGGCAGGUUUCUGAGGCCAGCCUGCUCUACAAAGUGAGUAUUCUAGGACAGCCAAGGCUAUAAAGAGAAACCUUGCCUCUAAAAACAAACAAACAAACAAACAAACAAACUCCAUAUCCAAACCUGAGGGAAAUAAAAGUCUGGCUACCUCCAAAGGAGGUAGACUUAGGCAAGAGAAAAAGAUCUUGGAGUAGAGGGCAGGGUGUUGGCUCACACAUAUGGCCUAAAUGUAGUCAAGGCCAGGGCAAGGGGACAGGCCCAGAAUAAAUGAGCACUUUAAGUCCCAGUAUGACCUUCACCCUACCAUUUUCACCUCAGGUACAGAGACCAGCUGCCUAGGAAAUUAAUGGUGGGGCCCAGAGGACAGCUGCUUAGUGCUACCUACUUCAAUGAACCUAGUUCUGUUGGGGCAGCAAGUUUAGGCCCUAAAGCAGGAUAGGUUGACUCACAUAGGUAAGAACCCUGCCUGAGAGUAUGUGUUUGUAGAGAGCUCUAUGUUCUCUAAGCCUCAUCUUUCACCCUUCUUACCUGCCUACAACCCUACAACAUAAAUACCUCCUAACUACCUUGCAAAUGCAGCCUCAUUUCUGCCUCAGUUCUCCAGUAGGGUACCAUAAGCCACUGUUAGGACAGAGUUAUACUUAGAGUUUGAUUUUAUAUGAGGGCUUACAGCCAGAGUCCUCAGAGAUAAGCCAGGUAGAAUAAAAAUUAUCCCUGAAAACAUCUUGAAUUACACCCUUCCCCAGUAAUCUCUCUCAGAGCCCUCUGAUCUCUUGCUUCUAAGUUGUUCUCAUGUCCCCAAAGAAGAAGAAGCUCUCAGGGGACCUGCCAAUUGUCUCUGGACUUCUGGGGCUGUAGCUCCAUGUGUGACGAGAUUACAUAGGCAGAAUAUCUAAGCAGAUGGUGAAGCCAGGAUUAUGGAGCUAGAGAUGCUUGGCUGAGUAGAGACUUAGACUAGACCCCUAUCUCUUGCACGCUUUGGACUUGCCAGCAGUAACGACGCUGCAACAGGAUNNNNNNNNNNNNNNUCAUGCCCGGGCCAGGCAGUGUCUUUGCAAAAAACUUUACUGCAUAUGUACACAUUGGUUGUUUGUCCAAACUUAUGCGUGGUGGCCAGCAGUAGUCAGCACCACUCUGCAACAGCACAUGUGGCUUCCCACACCUAUCUACUACCCCCCAUUCUCUUCCAUAUUUCCAAGAUGUCACCCAGAUCACCCAUAGAUCCAGCCAUAGGCUUAUCAUCAGACCUCUGCUAACCAGUCAUUGCCAAGGAGAUGCAUCUCAGGUGUGGCUUUUGCCAAGGACACCUGAACUCUCCUAAAAGGAAUACAAAUAUAGGCAUAAAUACUGAGUUGGAGGCUUCGGGGCACCAUAAGAAGCUUAAGAGGAAAGGACAUCCUAGUUCCUAAUCUCUGAGAUCUAGAGAUGCUGGCAUGGCCUGGAAGCCAGUGAAGGCUCCUGGCUUCCUUAUGUGGCAAUGUCAAUCACGGUAUACUUAACAGGCUGAAUUCACAGAAUUCUCAUGGCAGAAGGUGAUCAGAUGACCAGUGCCCAAACCCACCAUGGACUGUUCAAAUCUACCAAUGGUCAUAAACUCUCACGUAUUACUGGGAGUGCCAGUUUACUACUUACUCUCAGGACUUCAACCUGACCUUCACCAAAGGAGACGUAGGCCCCCAGUGACAGUGUGUCCCAGAAUGAGCCUGGCUCUUCCAGUAUUUCUUGUGUGAUAGUAGCAAGUUUCUGCCCUUCCUGAACCUUUGUCGUCCCCUUUUGUGAAGCUGAACACUGACCCACUAAGUUCUCCAGCUUACACAGAUAUACAUUAUGUAUAUCAGCUAACUAUACCAUCACCAACUCUAGCACCAGAAGUGCAGCACAGGCUAGCACUGAAAAACUAGUUUGUAAAUACUGUGGCUACAUUUGGGUUUAUCUUUUCAACAGAGAGCCUGCUUCCUAUCACUUGCAGGGCCAAAGGAAAGCAGGAUAUAAAACUUACCCCUCUCCUUAGUCUGUCUGAAGGUAGGUGCUUUGAGUAAGCAAGUCAGCCCAAUGAUGAUGGGACCAAAUAUUGAAGCACACAGAGGAACCUUUAACUGCCAAAGGCACAGUCCUUGGAUCCCAUGUCCGACUUCCUCAUCAGAGUUAUGGGUGCUAGUCUCCUGCUUGUACCUCUAAUUAUAGGAGUCAAAACAGCUCACAAGCCCCUUCCCCAGCUACUUCAGGCUUUAGUCAGGACUUGUAGCCUUCCCCUGCUGCUACAUAUUCCAGAUCAUCCCAGAGCUCAGUCCUCUUAAGUCUAAUUUUAUCCUGUUUAGGACAGCACUUGGGAUGCAGCCUGACCCAUUUGUAGCCCAUGGAAAAUCAUUACCUGGCAGUUUUUAAAGCUGUCAGGUCAAAUAAGCAAAACCUUAUGGGGUCUCCAGUCACAAAGGGAUACUUUAUACUUUCUCAAGUAGUUCCCCAAGUCAGGUAUAUGACUGGAUACUUGUCCACAUUUGCUAAAAUGUAUAUACCAACAGAGGAAGAUACAUUCUAAAUGUGUUAAUACACAAAGAGAACUGUAGCUCAUAGACAUUAAGAAAACUGCUUUAGGGUCCUGUGAGCAGGAUUGGAUGACCCAAGCCUGCCAGGGUUUCCUGAAAGACAGGGUCCGUAGCCACUGUGAGCCCACAGCAAAUGCAAGCUUCCCAGGGCUUCCUGGAAGACACUGUUCUUAGCUAUUGCGAGCCCACAUCAGACCAUAAGCAUAUGCAGAAAACUACAGUAAGAGGACAGGAAGGUGACUGAAAUGGCUGGAGAACCAAUCAGGCCAUUGUUCCGCAGAGCCCUCAUAGGGCCAUUACAAAGGACAUUUUCCUAGAAACUGAUGCAUAUAUAUUGAAGCAAAGGCCUUACAGAGCCAGCCAAGCCAGCCAUGAGGAAGAACUGAGGGAGCCUGCAUACCCCAGCCCUCAGGUCCUACUGGUAAACAGCAAUGAUAAUGAAAGGGUAACACUGGCCAAAGAGAACAACCUGAAAGCUGACCAGUUGAACAGAGGACAGUCCAGAGAAUAACCAUAUGCCAACAGUGAGCUGAUUUAUAGUGACACUGAUAUGACAGGGCAGUGGGAGAAGGAUGGUGCUGUAUCAGACUGGAUGUCCAAGUGGAGGAAAAAGCUUAUCUUGACCUUGACUUCACACAGGACACAAAAAUCGAUUCCAGAUGGACUGCAGAUCUACAUGUGAAAGGUGAGCUUUUAAAGCUUUAGAACAAACCAGAAUAUCUUUAUGACCUUGGAGUAGUCAAAGUUUCUUAAGUAGGACAUAAACAGCACUAUCCAGAGAGGAAAUGUUUGAUUAACUGGACCAUGUUAAAAUUAAGACCUUCUGUUCAUCAAAAGACACCAAGAGGGGGCAGGACAGUCCGCAAGCAGGGCAGUAUUUACAAUACAUGUAUCUGUGUAUCUGACAAAUGACUCACACUUAAGAACACCCAGAAUAGAGAGAGAUAAACUUGUGCCUGAAGAAGAACAGCUCUCAGUAUAGGAUAUAGAUGUCUUACAGAGAUCUAUAAAGAAAUGAGAAUAUAGAAUGGGGCUUAGCUCACUGCAAAUUACAGAUACCACUCUGAUGUUAUGAGAAGCCAGGAUGGCUAAAAAGGAAAUAGUGAAAAAUUCCAAGUGUGUGUGAGGAUGUGGAAAAAAGUGGAAUAUUCACAUGCUGCCAAGCAGGGGUAAUAGUUGGGGUGACUGCCAUGGGAAACAGCUGAUCCCGCAAUGACCCAGCACUUGUAGGCAUACAAUUAGCAGAGAUAGCCAUAACUUUUACCAGACACAUAUAUGUAGAAUAUUCUUAGUAACUCACUACCCAGAUCUGCCCAGUGGUCAUGGGUAGUAGAAUGAAAGAGCAAAUCACAGGCCACUCAGAACAGAGUGUCAACGAUCAAAAGGCUCCUGAGACCACUGUUUUCUUCAGCCUCACCGGGAGGGGUGGGUGGUUCUCAGACAUCAGAGUGAAUGAAAGUGCCAGAUACAUGUGUGUGCCGUGUGCGAUCAAGCCAUGUAGAUUUCAAACACGGGCAAAGAUGGCUGUUGCUGCUGGGAAGUGAGCUUAUGGUUUGUUCUUGGUGUGUCCAUGAUAGGAAAUGGGAUCUAGGGGACUUCCUGGGGAUUCUAUUGCUUUCUUUGGAUGCUUGGCUCUCAGGUAGGGACAAUGCAUUAAGUUUGUACUGGAAAUCUGUAUACGUUACUCUUUUGAUGUGUUCCCUUUCUACUAUAAGUAAGUUUGUAACCCACUGCUCUAUAGAAGACAGUAUUUUCUGAGCUUUAGUAGAGACACAACUCGGUACAAGCCCAGAGGGACUGGCCUUGCCGCCUGACUACCACCUUGUUUAGAAGGAUAUAUUACUCCAGUACCCUGACCAGACCACCAGCAGUCCCUAUUGUUCAGUUUCCACUUCCAGCUCUAGGCAAAGCAAACAGAAGAUGUGUUUGAGGGGCUCUCUCUGUUAUUCAGAGUACCUUUCUUUUAUGGUAUCAGUGUAGUAUGUACUGUCACACUACUCUCCCUGGCCUCUCUGUCUCCCUCAGAACAAUUCUAGGAGGUUGCUGCAUCUCUUUUCAUGUGUUUAGAUGAAGGAAGUGAAACUAGGGAAGGUUAGGGGCACUGGGGGCUGCCUAUAGCUGGGCCAGUGCAGGCUGGGAGCCAGAUUGAGGGCAUUCGAUUCCCAGUCCCUCUCUUUCCCACUGAGCCACUGAGCCACUCCGCCUCGCUUUUAAUUUAAUUAGGAGAACAUUUAAUCCCCCGUGCAUUUCAGAGACGGGUUUGAGCCUGGCCGGGGCCUUGUGGGGCUCUGACAGGGAUCCUGUGACUCAUACAGCCUUGCACAGCCCUCCCGGGAGGGCUCUCAUGGGGCUUCUUUGGCACCUUAUGCAGACAGAGGUGGUCUGGAUAUUCACAGAAGACAGGACACUAGUCUGGAAAGACAAACUGGUCUCAUCUGUUCUUGACAAGUCCCCUUCCCUAUCCUCCUGGACACUGCCCCCAACAUGGCCCCUCCAUCUUCUUCCAUCAUCAUUUGCAGGUUGAGAAGCCAAGUAAGAGAAAUGGUUGCUCACUGAGGUACCACAGCAGGCCCUGAUUGUCUCCAGGCCCUGAAUAUCCCAGGCAAAGCAGUCCCAUCAGAAGAGCUAGCCCCCUAGUCCACUAAUGCUCCCCUUCCAGAAGGCAUAGGCUGGCCCCAGCCUCGCUGACAAACGCAGAAUUCAGGAGACAUUAGUAGUGAUGUGGAUGAAAGCCAGGCCACAGCGGGCCUCCCUGGAAAAGAGAAACUCGAACGUCUUGGCGUGAGAUUCUGCAGGGUCCAGGAGAAAGUUGAAGACAUGGAAAUUCUAAUUAACGCACGAGGGGCUGGUUUUGCUCAAAGAUUUUUGAAGCUGUCAUGUCAGAAGAGGCCCGGCAAGCACAUGCUCGCCCGGGAGGUGCUUGUGGGCACCUGGUGGGAUUCUUGCAAUGUCCUAGCCUGUAUUCUUACUUUCCCUCUGUCCUCUAGACUUUCCUCCACCCAUCUUGGUAAACUGGUGGCCCCUGAAUGUCAUCCCAGAGUGGGAUGGCAGGUUGGUUAGUAAAUAAAUGUUGAGGCUUCCAGUUGAAAAUGUCACAUCAAAAAAGUCAGAGGGCUCAGGAACCAACCUCUUGGAAGAAACCUUUAGGGAAACUACAUGGCAGAGCCAGGCUGAGCUAUAGGCUGCUGUGCUUAUGGUAGGCUUGGCAUUUGGGGAUGUUCAUCUUAGAUAUCCUUGUGCAACGGAUGGGGCAAUGGUUCCAGACAAGUUCUGAUUGAUUCAUCGGCUGGAGGGUGGGGUGAAGUGGCUGUAGGAGAAGCUCACUGAGGUCAAACCCAGACAGGCUUCUUUAGCGUUGAGCUAUAGGUGCUCAUGUCCUGGGCCCUAUGUAUGUCUCGGCAUCUAUGGGACGUACCUGGAGACCUUGCUUCAUUUCAGGCAAGGCUAAUGAUGUGCUUUCUGUGUCAGAGUAGGACUGGCAGUCUUAGGGUUCUUUCAUCCUGGAGUUUUGGGGAGUGCUGGAAAAAGAGUGGCCAUGAGCAGCCACAACACUCUGCUGCUUGCCUGACCCAGGCUAGAAUCAGGGAGCUUUGAUGAUAGCCUCAAGAUGAUGUGAGAGGCAUUCCUGGGGAAAGGGAGGACUGAGUAGACACUGGAAAGAUGUGCAAUUCUGAUGGCUACAGGACCGACAAGGACAUUCCAACUGGUGGGAUGCAUAUGAGCCCUUGCCAGUUAACCCCAGUAAGCAGAAUCCUGGAGACUUGCCCUAUUAGUUGUAAAGAUACUCCCCAUCUCUCGUGGCAGUGGAUCUCUAUUUCCUACGUGGCCCUUAGAAGUCUGGAGCAAGGCUUUAGAUAGAGGAUUCAUGUUGAGGGAGAUUGAGGAGUACAGGGCUCCCUUCCAAUGAUGUUAGAACCAGGAAGACAGCAUCUGACUGAAAUAUGUAUGCAACACUGAGGCCCAGAUAUCCAGAUCUGGAUGAUGCCUGGGGCUUACUUGAGGAGCUGCUGGUACGUGCCUGUUGAGCUGGGGUCAGAGAAGCAAUAUUGUCUUCUCAGCAUCCUUCCCUAUUUACCUCUCUGGUUUUCAAUAGGCCUGCACCUUGUCCUCUCUGUCCCCAAACUAUCAGUGGCCAACCGGCUCUGAAAAGAGGAGCUUCACCCAGCCCCAGGGACCUUCCCAUAAUCAAGGCUACAGUGACCUCACCUCCCUAGGGCCCCUGGGCGGGGAGAGCUUGAGAUGGAAACAAAAUGUGUCUUUAUUUAUGCUUUUAAUUUGAAUUCUGGAACUGGCCCAGCAUGGUAAUACAUUUAACAUCAGUAAAAUGCUGAAGAAAAAUGGAUCUGUUUUUCUGCAACUGCUUCCCACCCACUCUGCUCCCUGCAAGACCCUAGUACACAUCUCUGUCCCUGGUAGACACGUACGAGGGUGUGUGCCUCUUUUUUCAGUGUAGGUUCAUAGGGCCAGCUGCCCACAGGAGCCAUGCUGCAUCAGUGAGCUGCUGGAGCCUAGCUUAAUUACAGACAUCAAUCAACAGGCUGACUAUGCAAGAGGCAAAGGAAUGCAGCCCUGGUGUGGGCACGUGGGCCCCUUACACAGUACCCAUGAUGGCCUAUCUGCUCCCCUAGAAUGGGGAGGGGUCUUGGUAAGGCCAGUAGUCCUGGGAGCACAUCAGGUUCUAGGACCCAGACACACACCAGGCCUAUGGUCAUGCUCUCUGCUAGGACUUCUACCAAGGAUGGCACUAGACUUCUACAGAUGUGGGUGUCUAAAUUCUUAGAUGCCUCAACCCUAACUCCAACUCUGCUUUGACCAGAUAUUUUUUGCUUAAGCCUAUGAUCUCUCUGUCUCUACCUUAGGUCUUUUAACUCAGCCCCACCGUGGGCUCCUCCUCUCCUCCUUUCCCACCUUCCUAGAUUGGCUUGUUCCCAGCUGCUGCAUUUGGAAUAAAUUGGCCUAGAAAGAGUCUUGGUGUGUUCUUGAAUAGAGACUUGACUGGAUAAAGACUGUCCACCUACUCAGGUUCCAGGAGUGCUGGCCUGAGAAGAGCUGUGGUACCUGGAAAGAUGGUGACACACUAGGCCUAUAGAGACCAAGAAAGCAUCAUUCAUGUCUCUGAGGUUCUGUUACAGAUCUGUUAUCAGAUUUGGCCUAGUACUCUGAGCAGUGUUGUCUAAGUGGCUUAGGGCUGCUUCUAGAACAGAUAGACAGUAAAUGUCUGGCUCCAGGAGCUUUGAGUAUACUAAUACCAGCACAGGUGGCCUUUUGCCCCCAAAGGUGUGGUUAUAGGGCAUUUAUGGACUGAACUAUGGUCAUGUAUCACCAGUCUCCACCCUCCCUUGGGACCUCGUUGGUGCUCACAGUAGCUAGGAGAUGUGAGACACAUCUAUCAAGGUAGAUGGUUUGUUGAGAGCACUACUCUCGUAGCUGCUUCUGUGUCUGGAGGUUGCUCCAUGGCCAGAAGAAUAAAAUGGAAUGGAUACCAAUGAGAGGUGAGUGAUCAGGGGGAUAAGAAGGCUGACUGGUCUUUCUAGGUGUAGGCAAUUCCCUGAGGCCUGCUAUGGUUGCCAUGGUGCUACUUACUAUCCUUACUCCUAAGCAGGCACUGGCAUAUCCAACACCAGCCACAAGACACCAGUGUUUACACUUAGGGUUGUCUCGUGCCGUGGACUUGAUGGAGAGACUUAACCAUAGUGUAAGCUAUUUUUCUACCCUCUGACGCCAGCAUAUACCUGCCUAGCCUGUCUGGACUCCUGUUCCCACACCUCUGUUCCCGCUUGCUAAUGCAGCCAGCCUGUAAGGCUAUCUUAGGAGGGAGAGUGACCCCUGCUUCUCAAUAACAUUCUUGCUCUCUCUAAACCCAUGAACCCUCUCUACAUCUUACAAACCAUGAGGCACUGCUAACCUCCUUUAAGUUUGGGUGGUCUGGGAAGAUAGUGGGCAUGCCUUGUUUGAUCAUAAUCAUUCCUCUGACAAGCCUGCCUUCCCCCAGGGUGGCCUCAACUUGGCUAUCUGGUUACUUAAGAAACCCUCAGCACUGUGAGUCCAAGUUUCUUCAGUCAUUGUAAAGUCAAGCCUGAAAUCUAGGCAUAGGCCAGAAGCGUUAUGACUACACAAGGUUAAGGACAUGAAUUUUAGUAGAAAGAGUGGAAGAGUCUCAGAAUGUGAAUCUCAGGAAAACUAAGAGUAUGGCAUUAACAUCCUGACACAAAAACACUUUUCUAGAGGAGUACCCAGUGGGGCAGUGGUCAGAAGGAGUCUGAGUGACCUGCCUCCACCACAUCGCUGCCUCUACUGAGUUUUGGUAGGAACAUUUGAGUCACAUGUUGCAGAGAAAUCAUGGCAUGGCUGGGUACUAGGGUUUGUCCUGGUGAUGCCUUGAUGGGGGCCCAAAUGGGGGGAGAGGAUGGGCAUGUGUCCCAGGCCAGCUGUGCCUGGGGGAAGACCAACUGGAAGGCAUAGAAAAUCAGCCAUUUCCUCCACCUGAAGGAGCCCCUGAGGACAGUAGUGGCAACUAGCAGGCAGCACCCGGUAUCUGCCCCAUGGCUUUGGCCAAAAUCCCACAGGGAAAUGCUAAAAAAUAAUGUUAACUCUCUUGAAGGAGUGGUGGAGGGGUGUAGGGGAGGAAAACAACAACAACAACAACAACAACAACAACAAAACCAACCCAAGUUUCUCAGACGCUCAAAGCAUGCAAACAAGUGGAAAAUGAUCAGUCUGGUUUUCCAUAAGUCAAAACAAGAGGAUCAUGUUUCCAGAUUCAGUGGGAAAGCCCCUGCCUUCUCUCCUGCCUGAGCCCUGAGGCCAGCCCCAGCAGCCAGUGUCCCCAGGUUCAUAAGGAUAGGCAGUGAGUUGUGGGUACUGGGUAAAUAGACUGCAUCCCAGCAAGAGGAUAAGCUUUGCCCUAUGCUAGGGCAGUUCCCUUGAGCCCCAGCCUUUGAGGGCAAAUGGACACUCACUGUGACACAUGGGUGAUGGGGGUCAGCAGUGUCUCCCCUUCCAGGUCCAGGUCCUCUGCAAAGCUGUUUGUUCUCAAGAAAUGGGGUGUGCUUACUUCCAGCAGUGUAGGGCUCUUCCUUACUGUGAAGAAGGUAUGGGGACAGCUCAUUAGGCUUCAAUAGAAACUUGAUCAUGAAGGGGAUCCAGAACUGGACAGAACUAGACUCAAAUGUCCACCCCAACCUGCUAUUGCUAUGGGAUAAACCUGUAAGCUCUCAAGAUCAGGUGAAGAGUGAGGACAGAGCUUGGAAGUUUUAGCCUUAUCCAUCAGGUUGGUUUACACUGAGUGGAAUAAGUGAGUGGGCAUUCACUUAUUCCAUUCACUUAUGCGCAUUCACUUAUUGAUUGGUCCCCAGGUACCUGGGGACUUAGCCUCCCAGGGUAAACCAUAAAGGCUGGUACAUUCUCCCCAGUGUUGUAGCUGCCCUGGGGCUGAGUUCCAGAACUGAGUAAGGUUCUGCCCUAUGUAUGUUAAGUUCUAGGCCUCUCACCAGCUUCACAUAAAACAUUUGUGCCAAGAACAAAUGAAAGCACUGAUCUCCACUACUGUGCUAUUCACACACAUACACUGACAGAUCAGUGGACCAUGCAACAAAGGGUGCUAGUACCUCUGCUUAUCAGAAAUCACAAGCUGAAUUCCUUGUUCUGGUCAUGAUGCCUUAUUAACCGGGUUCUCUUUGAGGGAGGCCUCCAGACUGUCCCAAUAGCUGACUUCCAUAGCUCAGGGCACUGAUCCAGAUUAGUCUUCACAGCAUUUCCAGCUUACUAGUGUUUGCUCUCAACUCACUUCUCCUUUAAAGUAUCUAAUAUAGUAUUAAGUACUUCUGAUAAGUGGAAUAUUGAAAAAUUCACAGUGGUCCUCAAUCAUAGGAAUCAUCUGCUGGCCAGGACCCUGGCUUUUCUGGUAGCACAAAUGUGAGGUCAUAAACUUGGGCAGACUUCUGUUCUUGUCAGUUUUUCUUACUCUGCGACAUUCUUUUCUUUAGGUAUGCAGCUAUGCAUCUAAUGAUCAUUUUAGCAGCACAUGAGCCCAUAGCUUAGGUCUACCACAAUUAACUUUACUCAUCCCAUAUUUUAUGGAUGUUCAGUCUUGUAGUUUUAUGACAACCAGACAAUGAUGUAAUAUCCAUCUUCAUUGUUAAAAGUUGUUGAUAUACUGGGCAGGUGAGAUAGCAUGACUUUGGUAAUAUUAAUAAGUGUUUUUGGAUUGUUCUUCUGUUAAGUUGUAGCCAACUAUUCCUCCCCUUCAAUUUUGCUUGGCCUUUCAAGCAUGGAUAAACACUGAGGUUUUCUCAUUUUCAAAAUUAUUAGUUCUUUGAGACUAUGAUCAACGAACUUUGAUCCUCAACCACCUUCUAACUUCUCAAUUUUGUAUCCUCUUGUUUUAAAAUUCAAUAAUUCAUCAACUUCAGUUUGUGCUCUCCAUGUAAUUCUGGGUGUGGGGGCUGUAAUACUGCAGUAUGAAUGACCCACCAGGAGUUAGAAUGUUAAGGAAAAACUCUCCUUUCCCAGGAGCCAUUAAUUGUCCAUAGCUUUUCAAGAACCUCUUGGGGUUCUUGAAAUUCUUGUACUCAAUGAUACAGUGUUGACUGGCUUGAUCUUGUGUAGGCAAUCAUGCAACUGUCCUGUCAUGCCCAGAAGUUAGUUUGUUCCAGUCGUCGCCUGUCUCUGGCUCUUACAGUCCUCCCAUCCCCUUUUAUAAUGGUCCUGGGCCUGUGAGAGGGGGAUGGUUUUCUCAUUUUCAUAUUCACUGACUGCUUCUGGCUUGUUUGGGAUUCUUCUUUCAGAAUUGCCCGUUAAUAACCUUUGCUUGGCAUUUCAAAGGAACUUUUAAUUCAUUAGAGAUAAUAACCUUGUGUUACAUGAAGCAUAAAUAACUUUCUUGGUCUAUGUUUGUCUUUUUAACACUCCGUUGUUUUAUCAUAAAGACUGUCUUGUUUUUUUACAGUGAUACAUUUACUUUAUGGAAUGGGUUUCCCACAUCUACUACAGCAGUCUUUUACAUUUAUUUCCAAUAUAAACAUACAAAUGUGGGCACACAUCUGUAUGUGUGUAUAAAUUUUAACACAUUUAGCAUUUAUGUGUAAUGCAACGGAUGUUUAGAAGUCAUACAAUGGAAAUACAAGAACACUAUAUAUAGUCUUUUAAAAAUCUGAAAUAGAACAUAAAACUAAAAAAAAGUUAAGAAAACUUCAAAAUCUCUAGGACUUUAGAUUUGAAAGAAUUGAGAUGCAACACCGAAAACUUAAUCCAAGUGGGGGAGGGGAAUCAAUUUUAUUAUAAUUAGAAACAAAUGAGUUAUUCCUGCAACAAGUGCAUUUUUCUAAGUAGCAACAGAAGCAAGGAGAAACAGGCUCACUGACUGUUAAAAUGCUGUGCUUUGUGAAGGCAAUGAGACAAGUCACAGAUUUACUGCAUAUCACUUAAUGGAAUCAAGGGCCUUGUACCCAGAGUAUAUAAAGAAGAAUGAUCAUAAUUUGACAACAGUGAAGCAAACAACCCAUCUUAAAAAGUGGAUUACAAAUAAGCAUGGGAAAUUGUGCUCAUCCACAGUCUAUGGUCUUUAUGGAAAUACAAUAUUAAAGCUUCAGUGAGAUAACCCUGAAAAUUAUCAUGAAGAUGGAUAAAGCAUUAAAUUAAAACCUUGUAACAGUCAGCACUUCAAGGAGGCAGAAUGACUGCAACCCUCAUGUGCCCGAGGUGGGAAUGCAAAGUGGCCCAACUGCUCUGAAGAACAAACUUCAUAGCCUUAUAAACACACAUAUGAUUUAUGACUCAGUGUAUGGGAUAUUUAAGUUCACAUAAAUCUGCACACAAAAAUAUACAGCAAUUUUACCUCUAGUUGCACCAAACAAGUUAUAACCAAGAUGUCAACAGUUAAAUGAAUAAAGAAAUCAUGGUGUGUCUAUCUGUUCCACCUAUGCAGUGGAAUAAUGUCCAGCAAUCAACUAGAAUAUUGGAGGAUCCUGGGACAGAUAAUAGACUAUGGUGAGUAGACUGUGUGUUGUGAAUACAUGAUAGAGCACUGAAAAGAGAAGGUGGGGUCUGGGGGAGGAGGAACUUGCUAACGUUGCUUUAAAAAAUAAUGUUUGGACUAAAGAAAAACUAGAGAAAAAAUACUGACAUAAACACAAUAUUCUUGUAGAUAAUUUUGUUUCAUACAGGGGUACUGUAUAUCAAGGAUUAUACAAACCAGUAUCUAUACUAGAAAAUGGGAGCUGAGGACAAAGUAAGGAUAAUCAGAAACAGUAUAAACAGUAUAAACUCGAGGUAAGCUGCAUAAAGAUACAAACCCUGAAACAUGGAUGUAUAUAGACUUUAGUUAUAGACAUACAUAUUUCCUAGUUCUACCUGCAGAAAGGAUAUGUAAACAGUGACCCUUUUGUGGCAAAGAACACACUCCGUGCCCAGAUCAUAUAUAACACUGUUAGUUUGCCGAUAAAAGCGAAUAUGGCUCCUUGGAAGAAUGGCCGCUUCUGGGGCUAGCACAGGGAAACUACAAGAUGAACCUAAAAGGAACUAAAUGGAAAGCGUGUCUAAAGGGCUCCUGUACAAGUGGCUAAAGUAGAAAAAGGUUUGCAACAAAACAAUAAUCCUCAGCUAUACCCCAGAAACACAGUUGCCAAGUCCAUCUGUAUUUCUAAAUAACUGAAAGUGAGAUGAAAAAAGUGAUCUCUGUAAGUGUAGAAGGAACGAGUUAACCAGAAGUGCACCGUAGAAAUGCUUGAAAGAUCCAUGGAUGAAGGCUAGAAUAGAAUUAGUAGGUGAAAUCUUUUUUUUUUUUUUUUGUAAUUAUUCCUUCAUUGUCUUUAUUGAUCCAUGUUGAACAUAUACAAUAAACUAGAAAGCCACUUUGUUCAUUUAAUUAUCAUAUAUGAUUAUAUUGUACAUUUUACAGUUAUGUUGUUUUCCAGUGACAUUGAUUGAAUCUCGGGCUUUGUUCAUGCUAGACAAGCAUUCUGCCACUACGCUACAUCCUUAGUCCCCAAAUAAAUUUUAAUUGCUUUAGUGAUUUUAACACAUUCACAGAGUCUCUAAUACUCUUUUGCAAGAGAUAGAAUGAAAUUCCUCAUUCUCUGAAUGUUGGCCAGACCUGGUGACUUGCUUUUAAUAACUAGGUCUAAUACAGGUGAAAUAGUGGGUCAAUUACAGUGAGCUAUUUAAUCAUGUAAAGUUGACACCAUGGUGAUGGAAGAAAAUGAGAAAAGCACCUUGCCUUAAUGACAUUUACGACAUCUGUAACCCUAUUCUAAUUUUGAGAAAAUUUUAUACAGACCCAGAGUAGCACUGACAUUUGAUAAGUAUUUAAAAGCAUCAACUCCAGUGACAGUACUGACAGGACACUAAGGUCCUGCUGAAUGAGCGUGAUGGUAGAUAUUGGACAGGCUCUUGGAGCAUCAAACUGGGAGAAGGACUAAAGUGUAGCUCUACAGCAUUGUAUCAAAUUAAACUUGUUUUAGUUUUUAAUCAAAGUAACAUGGUUAUGUAAGGUACUGCGUGAAAGGUACAUUGCAAGACUAUUUUUUCUUUUACAAGAAAAUGUAAUAUAUGCAAAUAAAACACACAAAUUAAAAGGGAAAAGAAGCAGAAUAGUAUAAAAGAAUCUCUAGUGUAUAAAGAUAGAUUAAAAACUAUUAAGAAAAGCACAAAACUUUAAACAGAGAUACCGACAAACAGAAAACUGCCUUUAUUGCAUUGACAAAACACUCAAAAAUUCUGAAAAAUCCUAAAUUUUAAUGAAAAUCCUAAUGUUUGUGGUGAAUACUCUGACAAGUGGAUUCUGAGAUGUAUUUGGAAGUGUAAAAGACCAGGGAAAAGUAAUAUUCUUUAAGAACAGGGUGGCUAAUAGGCUUAUCAAAAACAAGUACUUCAACAUAGUAGUCAUUAAUACAAUGUAGAACUGAUUCAAGGAGAGACUUAACUGGCUAGUGGGAUAGAAAUGGAUGUCAGAAAAUAGCCUACCCAUGGACACUUGCAAUGUAUUAAAGGCUUACUUAUCAUGAGAUGGCCUUUUAAAUGACACAUUCAAGGACAAGGGAAUUCACAUGGGGAAAACACUGAAAUGGGCCCUUAAUUUUCUCACAGCGUACAUUGAAAACACAUUCUUGGUGUUUCAGGGCUUAUGACAAGUAGAACUAGAAGGACCAUAGGCCUGGAUAUAGAAGAAUAUCUACAUUGCUUUGGGCUAGAAUAACUAAGAAGCAAUAAUCAAAAAGAAAAAUAGCAAUUUAGCCACAUUCAGAGUCAAAACCUAGAUAUCUAAAUACAUUUUAAAUAGUAAAAAGGGAUUCAAAAAUGAUAAAACAUAUAAAAAGGUAAAUCAGUAAGAACAAAUAGAUAAGUCUGGUGGCGCAGGUCUGUAAUCGUAGCUACCUAGGAAGCUGAGGAAGGAGAAAUACUAUGUUCAGGACCUUGCUGGGACAACAGUGAGUCAGGAUAACUCUCAAAGAGCAAAAUGAGGGCUAGAGAUGGCUCAGUGGUAGUGACUUCCCACUAGGUAUAAGACCUUAGGUUUAAUUCUCUAGCACUGAAAAAAAAUGACCUAACCAAAAAAUAAGCAAGACACCCUACACCCACCCCCUUCGAAAUGAGACAGGAAUUCAAAAGCCUGAUGAGCUUAUGGAAAGGUGUUGUGCCUGACUAGCAAUCAGGGAAAUAUAAAUAAACUCAGGAGCUCAUGGCCCAAGGGGCCAGCAGCAGACUUCCAGCAGGAAACUAUACAGACAUUACUUAGUCAUAGCUGGAAGAAGGGCUCAAGUAAAGGGCUCUGUGCCUGUGACAUCCUCAGAGAGACCAGGGAAAGACCUGUAAACCUUGAGGAAUGUGUGCACAUGAAGAGGCCCACAGGUCUGGGACGUGGUGGGAGUAUGUUACUGUUCCCAUUCUAGAGACUCAGGGCUGAGAUUCAAGUGUACUGGGUUAUAUUAUACACUUGUCAAGUCACAGCUACAACUUCAUCCAGGAUUCAAAUGUUCUUUUGGAAAAAAAAAGAAAAAGAACACAAAUACAUAUUUCAGUACUUGCAUCACUUGUAUACACAAGAAAGGAGAAGCAAAGAGGUGACUGGAAGAGGGGGCUGUGUUCUACACACCCAGAAUGACAAGUGCCAUCUCCAAGCCUGAGGGCCCAGGGUGAGCCCCUCAACUCCUGAGAAAGGCUCUGUCCUGGUAUUAGGAAAUUAAAAUGUGCACAUCAGUUGGCUGUCCACAGCGGGCGGGGCCUGCACCUGCCAGAGAGGAAUGUGGACUCUUUGGUUUAAUCCUGGGAAGGGUUCAUGGGGCCCCUGCAGUGAGGGUCAGAGAGGGGCUCAGCACAGUUGUUUUUCCAAGUCAAAAGGAGAGACUGUUGUCUGCUAGGCAUGUUUCAGAGACUUUAGGGGUGCUUCUCUUUCAUGGGAGAAACACUAUUCAGGACUGCCACCCACUUUACAUUUGGAUCUGUACUCACAGCCAGGUCAGACAUCUCAAAGAUUCUGAAAGGGAGUUGAGAGGGCAGGGUUUCAACUUAAACACACUUGUGGUGCUCCUCUUAGGCAAGAGCUUGGGGCAAGUAUUGUGUUCUAAGAAGCCCCAUUGGGCACUUCAUCUCUGAAGAGCCCAGAGUUUGUCUUUCAUAAAGAUAUGAAAAGAUAGCCCAACUGCAGAACAAACUAUGAGACCAUGGUGAAUGUGACCACUUAGACCCUGUGUAGAGGAUACUAGAGCAAUGUCAGGUGUUCUCUGCUGAACCAACCAAUGUCAGUGUACCUGGUCCUGGAGGAAAAGUACUAUUUCCUAGUGACAGUGAAGUCACAUUUUCCUAAAACGAUUCUAGUUUUUGAUGCUUUCAUUCCUUGGCUGCUUCUGUCUUGUCAGAGCCAGAAUCUGGACCUAAGUGUGCAGGGCAGAACAAAACAAUUUUGUUUUCUAGGAAAAUGGGAGGUCUGGAAUGGCGAAUGUAGCCUCAGGCGUGGCAACUGCCCCAGCUGGGACUACCCACUGCCAAGUUUCACCCUCUCUCAAGAGAACCAAAACCAGACUGUAUGCAGCAUCUUCCUUCUCAGCCAAAGGGCCUACUCGUUAGGGUGAUUUGCAUUGUACUUAAGCAUUGAAAAAAAAAAAAAAAGACUGGAAGGAAAUAGAUCAAAAUGUGAUAUGUUUGCCUGUGGAUUAAAGGACUUCAAAUGAUUUUCAUUUCCUUCCUUAUAGUAUAUGUAUUUUCUAUUUGAAUGAAUGAUACAUUUAGAAGUCAGAAAAACAUUAGUUCAUACAAGCCUCCUGUAUUUGCCUUGCCCUCCUCAUCCUGGGGUUAGCACAAUGCAUCUAAGUGUCCUUACUCAUCCACCUCCUCCAGUCUGUCCUUAAGAUGCCCAAGAGACCCAAUGACACAGAGCUCCUACUUCCCAAGCUCUCCAAGACCUUCCCUUUCCUAGCUCCAUUACUCCUGCAUUGAGCUCCAAGACUUUCCCUCUGCAUACCCGAUCAUCUGAGCAUUCCAAGUCCAACUCUCUGCAAGGCCCCAGGCCACCCUGUUGCCCACUGCCCUCUGCUGAGACUUGCUGGUGUCAGUAACUUCACCCAGCUGCUCACCCCUGCCCUCCUCCUCCUCCUAACUGAUUAUAAUCCUGCCUGAUCUCCCAGAUGUAACCUAAACCACCUUCCUAUGUAAGCUCCCCAAGGCUCUAGAGAUUGCCCCUUCAAUUGCUAUGGGGCUUAUGUGUGCCUGGCCCUCAGCACAGGAACCUUGCUUUCUUCCUCUCCCAUGUCACCUCCGGUGCCUGGCACAGGCAAGUCCCCUGAGCCAGCUCACUCCGAUGGAAUAAACAAGCUGCCUAUGUCCUCCCCUAGCAGAGGCCCUUUCCCUGUCCCCCCUCAAUCAAUUUCCCCGUCUUGGUGGAUUUGCCAAAGCCCUGUGGAUCCUGCACCAUGAAGGAAAAAAAACCCUCCCUAGGGCAUCUGGACAGCUGCAGCCAGGUCCUGCGUGACAUUGCUGAGCUGCAGCCCCACAGCCUGUGCCAGCUGCCCAUGCCCUGUUCACAGACCCUGAGCCAGACCAGACCCAACACCACCUGUGUCUUCACUCAGAGGGGAGAAGUAAGAGACAAGGACAGAAAGUGUAAAAGCUAUUCCCACAACAGCUGCCAGGAACAAGGCGAGAGUGCAGUGUAAAUGUAUAUUCACAGCUGGUACCCAGUUCCGCUUAGGAAAAUACCUUGCUUGAGUGGACACCUGUUGUUUUUGCGAACUCUGCAACCAGGCCUGGCUUCUGGAAAUAGUUCACCGAAUCUUCCUUAGAGGGGUCCUCAUUUCCUACUCCCCAGUGUGUAAGAUUUAGGAAUUCAUUGGCUAUUUCCAAAGGGGACUUUGUGGCUGGAUCGCAACUUCAGAAACAUAGUUGCACUUAUAAAGAUGGCUUGUACUUUGGUUGGGAGCAUUGAGAGCCUAGCCUGAGCCUGUGGCAGAAAUCAUUUGGAAAAAGUCUGGCAUCUUUCUCCUGGUACAUGUAAACUAGUGGACAUCUUACAUUUAUUGGAAAGUGAGUGUUUAAGGACACAGAUGAGUAUAGCUAUGCAUGUAUCUAUAGGCAGAGAGAGGGAAAGAGCACAAAAAGGACAGGGUAGAAGGAGAAGGAGAGAAAGCAUCACCAGACUAGCUCUAGCUGUGUCUGGAACAGCCAGGUUCAGAUUCAUAAACUAGAAAAAUGUCUCAUUGUCCUUAUCUAGAUUGAAAUGGGCUCUGCAGUCUGUUACCAAGAGCACUUAGGAAUAUAAAAAGCUAGGGGUAAGAUAUAAACCUGAGGAGAUAGGUCUGGGGGUAAAUCUAGGUUGCAAAACACAGCAAACAAAACAACAACAAACACCCUAAGACAGUCUUGUUAAGCUUUGCAGAGUAGAAGACAGGAAAGAAGAAGGUUAGCUAGAUAAAUCUGGCCCGAGGCCCCAGCUUCAGCUCUACAUGGGCCAGGAAACUCUGGGAAAGGUGCUUCGUACAGCUGUCCACUGACUUUCUACUGUUAUAAUGCAAACUUCUCUUUAGAGAGCUUCUCUCUCUACCCUGUGUUUGCAGCACUUUAUGGAACAUGCUGUAUUUUGUGUUCAAGCAAAGACUGAGGAUACAUUUAACUUGAGAUGGACAGUGACAUGACAGUUGAAGAUGACCUAUGGAAUCCCAAGAAAUCCUAGGAACAAUGCUAGGCUUUGUGCAACUACAGAGUUCAUAGUGCUGGAGACUUUUCACUGAAUGCCUUUUCUCAUAAUGGAGAUAACAGGCCUAACACAUAAAUCUCAGAGUAAAUGGAAAUGAUUCUGUGGGCCCAAGGGUGGGGUCUGAAUGGUAAGGUGCUAAAGAGGACAGGCAAUGACAGAGCUAGCCCUAAACAAGCCCAGGAAGCAGAGCAUGAGUAGCACAGCUGCCUGCAGAACAAAAUUAGUCUACCCAGCUUUCCAUGCUGCAAGAAGUCACUGUCCAGGUCUCCCAAGACACAUUUGGAAGGGAAGGUUCCAGGCAGCAAGAGCGGCCCCAGGAAACUUUAAUAUACAAUGGAAUCUGGGUUAAGCACUAUCUUCUCCAAAAGUUGAGCUCACAGGACAUUCCCCAGAAACCUCUGGAGAGGUGGGGAGGAAAGUUUCUGGAGGUCUUUGGACGAAGAAAACAAAAAAGUGGCCUUGAUUUUUCAAGGAGAAAUUACACAGGAAGAAAAAAAUGUUUUUAAUCUAAUUAAGAGCGAUCUUUUCACCUUCAUCACAACAUCACGGAAAUGUGCCAGUUCUUAACUUCACACAAUAAUCAAAGCAAUUAAGGAGAAGCCUUGGAAACUGGUGCAGAUGUUCUCAGGAUGUUUAAUGGGGAAAUGAGUUGCAGGCCUCAUUCUCAGCAUCCGGCUCCAGGCCCUGGCUACCAAAUCCAGACAUCUGCUGGGGCCCCACUCCCAGGCCUGGAGGGUGUGUGCUUGAGAAACACAGGUCUCUUCCCAGGCUGCCUCUAGCGAGGCCAGAUCUGGGGCCCCAGAGGCUCCCCAUGGUUCCUCAAGCCAGAGCCUGGACAUAGUCAGAAUCACCCCAGAGCUAGGGAGAAGCUUAAUGUCAAAAUUAUGUUAACAACUGAUGUCAAAAGUAAUCAACUCAAACUGGCUCCCUCACCCCUGCUGGCUGCAGGAGGACUAUGAGUAGAGGAAGGGAGGGCAAAGAGCCCCUGGCAGGGGCUGGGAGAGACUCUCUUCUUUGACCUCCUCAGCAUGAAGAUCACAUAAAGGUGUGGCAGCAUUGGUGCAGUCUGACUCUGUGUGCUUUGGUUCAAUGUUGCCAAGCUAGACCCGAGAAGCAAAUUAGUCCAUCCUUGAGUAAUUUUCAAAAAUCAGAAACCAUGUAGAAAGGAGGGUGCUGCUCACUUAAUAACUAGCCUGUUUUAGAGAGCAGAAGGGCAUAUGACUAAAGUUAAAUGGCUUGAAAGUGAAGACCUUGAUGUAUGGUUCAGGCAGCUCAUUAAACCACACUGGAAGCCCUGCUGUAUGGUACACACAAAGAACAUGGAAGAAAAGAAAACAUCCCUGGUUUUGAGGACACAUAGGCAGUAUGGGUCCUCACACAUGUACGACAUUUAGCAUUCAUACUGUCUUCAUACCAAAGGCUUCUUAAUAAAAGAAAUACCAGAUAUGACUCCAGGACUUUGUUUAACUGCAUGCAGGGUAGGCCAAAGGCAAUGGAAAGACAUCUCUCAAAGUAAGCCUUCAGUGGCAGUCAAUACUCCAGGUCCACAUAACUGGUAGAUCUUUAAGGAGUGUUGUAAGCUGAAUUCCAGCUGUUCACUAAAUAGACCACUUUCUUGGGAAGUAGCUGGCACAAGUUUCCUGUUAUUCUCUGUCCAUAAAUCUAGCCCCCAAAAAGUGAUAGGAAGGGGUUAAAGCCUUUAAGAAUGAAAGUAGCAUGAUGCACUUUUUAUCAAAAGAAUUUUUGGGAUUGCUACGUAUAGGAUGUAGCAAAGGAAAGCCAGGGAGACUUGGGAGGCCAGUGAAGAGCGAAAGGGACAUCAAAACAAACAAACAAACAGACAAACCCCUAAACAAACAUGGUGGCAUUAGCAGGGGAAGAAGCUAUAGAGACCAAGAGUGGGAAAAGUCUAUAUGUGAAAAAGCAUAAUUUUAAAGAUUUGCAGGAAUGUUUGGAGAAUAACAUUCUACUCCCCCACCCCAACCCCCAGACUUCAAAUCUCCUCACUUACUCUAAAAAUCAGAACAAGCAAUUCAACAACAGUAAGAGCAAAAUAAAACCAUAUAUGAUCUAUUCCUUCAACAGUAGGCCAAAUACAUAGAAAUUCCCCAUGAGAGGAGAGUCUGCCCACCAUUGUAUACCUGUGAGUGCAAAAGAAGAGGCCUACGAUGCUCUGUCAAAAGAGUGAGGAUGCUAAGUAGUGUCAACAAAAAUAAGGUUCCCCUCUCCACAGAAAUAUUUUUAUAGGAACUCAGAAUUAAUGUCAGUGAUUAAUUCUGGGAAGCAGUCAGUAAUUCACAGCAACCAAGUGAAUAUCACAAAAAGAAAUGGCCAAUUAAAAAGUGUUAGGGGCCCAGCAAGAUGAUUCAGUGGAUAAAGAUUCUUGUUGCCAAGACUAACAACUUUAGUUCAACCACUGGAAAAAACCCAUUUGGUAGAGGAAAGAACAAGUUUGUGCAAAAAUUACAGGAACUUGUGACAUUUUCACUUGUCUUUAAAUACUCAUCUUCCCUCUACUAAGCCUGGUUUGGUGGCACUGUUGCAGAUGAUAGGUAGUAUGGACCCUGGUCCUUGUUUUUGAAGUGUGCAGUACAGACCUUGUCUAAAAUAAUUAUUUAUGUUUUAAAAUAAUUAUUUUUGUUUUAUAUUGUUUGUGGGUACCCUGAAAGACUGACUUAAGGUGUUUUCAUUUUCCCCCCAAAUAGUAAUUGCGAAUUUUCUCAGUGUGAAAAAUAGUGGACAGUACUUACAAACGCUGUAAGACCUUCAGAGCAGUUAUAAUGACUUGAGCAAAGAUCAGUGGUUGAAGCACACAGCGGCCCACUGAAAAGCCUCAGAAGGCAAUCUAGAGAGAGCUUCCUUGGAAUUUUAGAGCAUUUAAAAUAAUAGUAUGUGCUAAUAACUUACAAAACAUGCACAGAGCUAGAUGCUAAGAAGAGCCCUGACAAUACUACAAACCAGCAUCUAUGAUAGAUUUCUAUACACAAGUUACCUCAAGCUACAAGUGAAAGCAAAGACAGGAUUGUUAAUAGUCUGUCCAAAUAUUGAAGGAAAAUUCCAGUUUAAUUUACAAAAGCUGGACGAAUCCUGCCCUCCUUUUAUACCUCGCUGUCAUAAUGAACUGAACAUAAAUGAAAGGAACAGAACUUCAAAGACCACACAUAACUUCACAAAAGAAAAAUAGCUUGGGAAUAAAAAAAAAAAGGCUUAAAACCACUUAAAUAGCAUUAAAAAAUCUGGAGGCAGAAAAGAAUCUAAUGUCCACAGUUAUAAUAUAAAUAAUUGAAAAUAUAGAGCUUUAAACAAAGAAAAUAUGGACUAUACAGAGAAACAAUAACAAAGUUCCUUCCCACAGAAAGCUGAAAGAAGUAUAGACACACUCUACUUAACUUGACAAAAAAAUAAUUUUUAAUUAGACUAGGAAUGUUUCAGCUGGAAAAGGGUCUUGAGGCUUAAGCCCUGUGACCUAAGUUUGAGCUCCGAUCCCAUAUAAAGGUAUAAGGAAAGAACUACAUAAAAUCAGCCCCUAACCUAGAAAUGGGCACCAUGGCAUGUACAGUAAUCUCAUUGAUAAUAAAAUAAAAUUAGUCUAAGUUAUGCUGAAAGAUAAAAAGAAAAUGAUAAAGAACUAAAGAAAACAAAGAAUAUGAAGAAUGAGAUAAAAUUAGAAAAUGGAAUUAAACAAAUUCUAGAACUGAAAAGUAUUAACAAAUGAAAAAAUCCAUUAGAGGGUUUCAUCAGCAGAUCUGAAUGAUAUAAGAAUCAGUGGACUUAAGGAUCAAGUCUGAGCACGGGGGGGGGGAAAUGAGCAUUUCAAGAAUUCUAUGGUAAAUGGUAAACUACCAAGUAUGCUAAUAUCUUUGUUGGAAAUCCCAAAAAGUAGGUGAAAGAAGGAGCAGGAAGAAGAAUUGACCUAGUGGCUAUGCCUCCCCAAAUUUGAUUAAAGACAAAAAUUACUAUGUACAGGAACAUAAGCAAAAGGACCCAGAAAUGAUAACUGAGUCACAGAAAAAUACACUAUCAAUUAUUGAAAGGCAGAACAGACUUUAAAAAGAAAAAAAAAAAGACUUUGCUUGUCAUGUAGUGAUUCUCAAUACAAUUAAUGUGUUUGUUAUCAGCAAGUAUGGAGUCGACUGAGAAUGGAAUAGCAUUUUUAAGUACUGAGAGAAAAAAAGUCUGUCAACCAAUAAUUUUAUAUACAGCAAAAUUAUUCAAACAUGGAGAAAUAAUGAGCUUAAGAGCUUCUCAAAUGAAUAAAAGCUGCGAAGCUCAUACUAUAUUGGCUCUACAAAAACUAUUAGAGAAAGUAAUACAGUUUCAAAUAAGAAAGGACUAGAAAGUAACUGGAAACCACAUAGAGAUGCCCAGACCUUGAGGACCAGGUCGCUACGUAAAACAUAUUAUUAUUAUAUAUAAUAUCUAAGUUUUUAAUGUUUAUUAUUUUUGUGAUAAAAGAACAUGAUAUAUACAUCUGGCAUAUAUAUCAUAUAUCUUUGGAUAUAUUCAUGCAAUAGAUAUAAAAUUUGAAACCAUGUAGAACUGAAGGAGAUAGAGCUGUAUAGGAUCUUGAAUUAAUUUGUAAAAGUUGGAAGAAUCCUCCCCUCCUUUUUACCUGCUAUAAUGAACUAAACCUUAAUGAACCAAAUCUAAAUGAAAGGAACAAUAUUGAAACUAUGUUGGCAUAAACUCAAUCUAGAAUUUUGUAAAGUUAAGUGUAAUUAAUUCUCAUCAAAAUUAUGCAGAAAACAUCUGGAAAAGUCUAUAAAUCUCAACAUGUAAACAUCUUAGAAAUUACAGUAUCUCAACAAGUAAAAUGGUUAGUUGACUGAAAAGUCGAUUCCAUUUCUGUAUCAGAAAUGAAAAGAGUAAAACAAUGCCUUCAAAAUGAGGGGGAGAGGUGAUGGUAGAUUGAAGGAGAGAGACAGGUAGACAUGGAGAAUCAGAACAUAUUACAAUAGACAUUGCUGGAAUCAGCUUGGCUAGAAAAACCUAAUUUGUGAUUUAACUGCUGGAGUUUAGAUGUAGAUAGAUGUAAGAACUAAAAAGUCAAAGGCACUAAGUUUUGGGAAGAGCCUUAACGUUUUCAUGAAGUACUUCAUCCAGGAGUUUGAUCAGAUUCUCACUGCGAGUAGUAGAGAAAAAUUCCCUUGAAACUUUCAAUAUUGGGAGGGAGGAAAGCCAUUCUGAAAACAAACAAUAGUGUUUUUCGUCAAGGGUUUACCUUCAGGGAAAGUUAGUUUACUAGGUCUUAGCCAGCUAGGAUUUAUCACAAGCUAACUGAACUGACCUAAAGCAAUUCAAAUUAACUCUAGAUUUCUUGUGGAGUAGAAAUAUCCAAACACCAGACCAGUUCACUUUAGCCAUCCUAUACCACCCAAGAAAAAAUAUUGAAGAAUGGUUGUGACAUUCAGUCAAGAGGCUCAGUAAAAGUGAGACCUAAACACAGAACUAUAGAAUGUUUCUUAUAUACGAAACCUUUCUGUAUUGUUAAUAAUGCCCAUUCAAUAGAAGUUCCUUUUGUCUGAUACAUCAUAUCUGCUGUCCACCUAUUGAAAAAAAUACAAGGAUUCUAAAAGACAUUAACUUUUUAAAACAUAGCAGACAUUUCAGAUAUGUUGAAAUUAUCGGAGAUAUUUGAACUAUAAAACUAAGGACAACAUCCAAGGACAAUAGCAAGGAAGGAACCAAAGUCAUAGGGAAAACACAAAAAGGGCUGGGAACCAGCAAUAGCAAUGUAUGAAAAAUACCCUCUGUAGACUCAUUUGAUUGCACACAGAUGAGAAAAAAAUCAGAGUAUCUUUUUGUACAAACAACAAAAACUAAAAGACAAAAAUGAACAAAACAGUGAGAAUUUGGCUGAGUUGGUUAAGUUUUUGUCUUAUAUACGUAGGACCUGAGUUUGGCUCCCAAGUAAAAAAGUUAUCUAGUUAUCUCCAUUCCUGGGGCAGCAUUAGAAGACAUGUCAAUCCCUAAGAAUACUAGAAAUAGUCAUAUAGAAGCCAAAAACAAAACAAAAAUAAAAAACAAAUAGAAACCAUUUGAAACAACAGGAACUAAAAAUUUCCCCUAAAUUAUUAUCAUACAUUAAACAGUUCAGGAAGCUGAAAGAAUACCAAACAGGAUUAAUAACAAAACUUGCAUCUAAACAUAUCAUUAUCUACAAAAAAUCAAAUAUUUAAAAAGCCCUACAGGAACACCUACUAUAAAAUAGCAAUAGUACAAACUACAUCCAAUCUGUCCUCAGAAGCAAGAAGAGCGAAAUAACAGAACAAAAUAAAUCGCUAUAUAUCCUUCUGCACUCUGCAAUUGUCUUAAGAUUGGUCAGUUAGGUAAGAUUUUGUUCAAAACAUCUAAAAAUGUGUUUAAUUAUGUUUAUGUAUACUUAAUUGAAAUGAAUGGUACCAGUGAUUUAUAGAGGAGUUAAUGGUUACUUUAGGUCAUACAAUGUAUGAAUUGGUAUGGUAUGAUUUGAAAGAGGGCUUAGAUUAGUUGAAAAUGUAUACAAGAUCCAGAGAAAUCACCCCAAAAUAAUGCUAGUAAACAAACUUUUCCAAAAACAGUAUUGCAAAUAUAUAGCAAAACAAGUUUGUAGUUACAGGUUGUAUCUUAGUAGCCUCCUGGGUCCAUUGUACCAGAAUCCCACAUAUAAAUCUCAUGUUUACAGUAGAUUUCAGAUUGGGAAAUCUGUUUUGCAUAGUCAUUGUUAUUUAAUAAGUAUCUUCACCCCAUUUUGUGGCAAUGCUAGUAGAGGAAAGUGAAUUGCUACUGAGCUAUAUCUCAAGACACUACCAUACCUUUCUAAUUGCACAAGCUCUAAUGCCAUCACACCUAAAAGAAGCUCUGAAUUAAAUACAAUAUAGUUCUUAACUCGUAGGUAUUACCUAAGAGACUUAAAGUGAUUUUUGAGCAGGCUAAAACCAACCAGCCACCACUACCACAACAAAAGAUAUCUGCUAACAAGCCAUCAGAUAGGAUAUAUCUAGUAGUAUUCCUGUUGUUGCCAUUGAUAGAAAAACAUAUCUCUCCCAGAACAUGAGAAAUAUGAGAAACAAAUUAGGGUAGGAUAAGGAAGGGAGAGUUGCUAUAUUUUCUUCUUGUUUGGGAGAGAUAGCUAUUUGUCAAAAGGAACCAACAAAAUACUAGAUAGAAACAUACCUCUCAGGAAUUAUAAUCUUGGUAAAGAGAAAAUUGGAAUAGGAAGGUGUGUUGACUUUCUGCAGCACAACUCUGUUUAGGGGAAAUGUCUGUUUGUCUUACCUUCUUGUAAAAGUAUGGUAGAUAAUAUGGCCCAUGAUAAUCUGAUUUCAAAUUUCCUAUCAACGUAAGAUCUGCUUAUUCUCUAUAACCCUGUGGAUGAAGCCAUUUCAGAUAAAGAUGAGCAAAGGGUUACUAUGCUUUGAAGAGAAAUUACAGUAUUCAAAGAGAUCUUUAAGCCCAGCCAUUGGAUUUACUAGACACAUACUUAAAGCAAUUAUUUUAAAGAGUUAAAUAUAUUGGUAAACAUAAUAAAAAUAUAAGCUACAGACUAGGACAAAAUUUUUAAAAAAUAUUUAAAAAAUAUAUAAGGAGCUUCCCAAAACUUAAAAGGGCUGGGAAUGUAGCCUCAUGACAAUAGGGUACUUGUCUAACAUGAACAAAACUUAAAAUUCUAUCCUCAUAAAUUGAAAAAAACAUGUGUAUGACUGAAUUUUGCUUUCUGAUUUGAAAAACACCUAAACAAUAUGAAGUUAAAUGAAUGGCAACUUUACCAAUAUGCAUCAGUUUUGCAGGAGAAACACCUCCAUUUAGCAUAGAUGUUAAAGACCCACAUCUUAAAUCCAAUCUCUAGAAGCACAAUGUUGAUGAAAGAAAGCCAGACUUCCAAAGAACAUCAUCCCAUGCCUGAGUCAGUUUAGUAAAAUCUACAAAACUGGCCAAUGCAAAAUGAGCUCUAUUGUGAAGGAUAAAAAGACAAUGAAGAACAAGCAAUGGCAAGAUUAUGUUAGAUCAUCAAUUUGAGUACAUUGAUGAGAAUGUCAAAACUAUCUAAGAAUGUGCAGUGAGGGGGGUAGGUAUCUUUUUGCCAUAUUCUCAAAUGAAAAAGCUUUAAAAAUGAAACAUUUUAGUUUAAACAUCUUAUUUCUUGAGGGUCUAAAAGAUUCUAAGGUUGUCAAUGUUCACUGAAACAAAAAAGAUGGUAAUCACAUGGAAAUGUCUUUUAUAAGAGGUUAAUAUACAGGGUCCUCUUAGUUUUCACAAAGGUAGGAUUUAUGAAAGGAUGGGCAGGAUGAUAAACUUGUUUUCCUGAUAGACUUUCUUUUCCAGACUUAACAGGCAUAUGAGGAAAAAUGGUACACUGAGGCUAUGUAUAAGAAGAUAAUAGGCAACCUAAACAGAAAGCACCAUGCUUGGAUGGAUUUACUGAUAAAUUCUGACAAAUCUCAACUAUUUAAUGGAAGAAUGUAUACUAAAGGUUCUACAGUGUCUUUUAGAAGGUAGGAAAUAUUGCUUAACUCAUUUGUUGAGACCAAUGUUGCCCUAAUUUCUGUAGCAAACAACACAUUCCAAACAAGCUAAAUACCAGUAACUCAUGCUGUAUGUGUAAAACAAUACACUACGCAACAUUAAUAUGCCAAAUCCAAAAAUAUCACAACUGCUCAGUGCUAUGGGACAUUAAAAACUAAGGUAAGUUAUCACAAGCAUAAAAUAAGUCACAGGAUUAUGUCACCAGACAGAAAUAUACAUCCGAAAAAUAUCUUGACCAACUCAUGGUAAAAACAACAACUUUGGAACAUUAAACCUCGGGUACGUAAUCAUAAGAAGUAAAAAGAACUUUUAUGAUUAUAUCACUGGAUACAUAUGAAUCUGACAAAAUUCUUUACUAACACAUGAUUUAAAAAAGGACCCUUGGAACAUUACCAAAUCAGGUAAGUAAUCACAAGAAGAAAAAAAUGUUACAUGACAUGAUUAUAUUUCUGGAUACAAUAAUUCAUCUAGCAAAAUUCUUUACUAACUCAUGAUGUUUAAAAAGCCGUUUGGAACAUUAAAAAGUCAGGUAAGUAAUCACAAGAAGCAAAAAGAAGUUACAUGAUUAUAUUAUUGAAAUGCAUCUGGAAAAAUUCUAUAUCAAUUUUUAAAAAGCCCUCUAGAUUAUUAAAACCUCAGGUAAGUAAACACAAGAAGCAAAAAAAUGUUACAUGAUUAUAUCACUAGACAAAAAAUUUGACAACAUUCUUUACCAACUCAUGAUCAAAACAAAACAACAAAGAGCAUAAAAAUCUCAGGUAAGUAAUAAGCCAAAAGAAGUUACAUACUUAUUCACUGGAUACAAUUACCAACUCAUAAUAAAAGUAACAACAACCAACAACAACUCUACACAUUAAAAACUCAGGAUAGGGUUCACAAGACCCAAGAAGAAAAAAAAAAGAAGGUCUGACAACAUUAUUUACUAACUCAUGAUUAAAACAAAACAAACACGAAGACUUCUGGAACAUUAAAUACUCAAGUAAGUGAUCACAAGAAGUAAAAAUAUCACUGGACACAAAAGUGCAUCUAAGAAAAUUCUUUAUUAACUUGUGAUUUAAAAUAAAGAAAAAGGAAAGAAAACCAAACAACUGGGGAUCAUUAAAAACUCAGGUAAGUGAUCAUAAGAAACAAGAAGCAAGAAAUAAGUUACAGAAAUCUGACAACAUUCUUUACCAAUAAUACCAAACAAAAAAUAAGCACACACAAAACCCUCUAGAAUAUUAAAAACUUAGGUAGCUGAUCACAAGACACAUGAAGCAAAAAAGAUAUUACAUGAAUAUUUCACUACACACAAAAACCUGACAACAUUCUUUACCAACUCAUAAUACAAAACAGAAAAAAAGCAUACAUAAGACAUCUGGAGCAUCAAAAGCUCAGGUAAAGAUGACAAGAAGCAAAAAGAAGUUACAAGAUUAUAUCACUGGACACAAAAAUGCAUCUACAAAAUUCCCUAUCAACUCAAGAUAAAGGAAAGAAAAGAAAAACCUAACAACUCUGGACCAUUAAAAACUCAGGUACAUGAUCACAAGACACAAGCAAAAAAGAAAUUACAUGAUUUCACUGACACAAAAAUGCAUCUGACAAAAUUCCUCAUCAACUCAAGAUGAAAGACAAGAAAAACCCAACAACUCUGAAACAUUAAAAACUCAGGUAAGUGAUCACAAGACACACGCAUACACACACACACACACACACACACACUCACCCCACAGGAAGUUACAUGAUUAUUUCAGUAGACACAGAAACCUCACAUUCCUUAUCAACUCAAGAUAAAAAACAGAAAUAAAGCAAACACAAAAACCCUCUGGAACAUUAAAAACCAUAGUAAGUAAUCAAAAGACACACACACACACACACAAAACAAUAAGAACUUACAUGAUUAUUUCACUAGACACAGAAACAUGACAACAUUGUUUACCAUCUCAUAAUACAAAAAAAAAAACACAAAUCCUUUGGAAUAUUAAAAAAUCUCAUGUAAGUGACCACAAGAAGCUUAAAGAAGUUACAUGAUUAUAUCUUUGGACACAUGCAUGCAUCUGAUGAUUUUUUAUCAACUCAUAGAUUUUAAAAAGGAGGAAAAUAAAACCCAACAACUCUGGAACAUAAAAAACAAAAAGUUACAUGAUUAUUUCACUAGACACAGAAAUCUGACAUUUACCAACUCAUAAUACAAAACAGAAGCAAGGGCUAGAAAGAUGGUUCAGUGGUUAAGAGCACUGACUGCUCUUCUAGAGGUCCUGAGUUCAAUUUCCAGCAACCACAAAGUAGUUAUAUAUCCAUCUAUAAUCUGACUCUCUCCUGACGUGUCUGAAGAGAACAACAGUAUGCUGAUAUACAUAAAAUAAAUCUUUUAAAAAACAAGCAAAGCACAGAAACCCUCUGGAAACUUAAAAAGGUGAUCACAAGACACAGGCAAAAUGAAGUUACAUGAUUAUUUCACUAGACACAGAAACCUGACAACAUUAUAAACUCACAAUAUAGGAACAAAACAAACACAAAACUCUGGAACAUUAAAAAACUCAGGUAAGUAAUCACAAGAAGAAAAAAAGUUACAUAAUUAUUACUGGAUACAAGCAUGCAUCCAACAAAAAUUUUUUAUCAACUCAUCUCAAAAACCCCAAGAACAUUGGAAUAUUAAAAGCUUAUAUAAGUGAUCACAAGACCCAAGAAGAAAUAACAAAGUUACAUGAUUAUUUCACUAGACACAGAAAUCUGACAACAUUCUUUACCAUCCCAUAAUACAAAACAGAAACAAAAAGACCACACAAACCCCUGGAACAUUAAAAACUGGUAAGUGAUCAGAAGAGACAAGAAACAGAAAAGAAAUUACAUGAUUAUUUCACUACAUAAAGAAACCUGACAACAUUCUUUAUGAACUCAUAAUACAAAGCAAAAAAGGCACACACAAAACAUCUGGAAUAUUAAAAACUCAGGUGAGUGAUCACAAGAAGCAAAAGGAAGUUACAUGAUUAUAUCACUGGACACAAAAGUGCAUCUGACAAAAUUCCCUAUCCAAAAGAAAAAAAAAAUCAGUAAACACUAUAAGGACGUCAUUAACUUUGUAAAUACCAUAUACCAAAAGUAUAUACCAAACAUAAUUGACAGGAAAAAAAGGGGAGGUAAGGAUGGUACCCACUCAUUUUUCAAAAUCUUGUGGAAAACUCCUAAGUAAUGGACCAAAAUAAAGGGAAUAUAUAUUUUGUUUAAAAGGAGCAAAGUUUUGUUUUAAGUGGCAUUAUCUAUGUAGAUAAUAUGAAAGGACACAUAUACAAAUUCUGCAACUAUUAAGGGACCACAGCAAGGUUACAGGACUCAAAAUAUACAAUAAUCAGUUACUUUCCUAUAUGCCCCAAGUUAACGAGUGGAAUUUGGAACAAAGUACAUUAUUGCUUUGGCAUCACCAAAAUAAACAGAUAAAAAUAUGUACAAUAUAUUUUCAAUAUUUAACAUAUUGAAAAAUUCAAUAUUGCCAGAUGUCCAAUAACCCAUGCUGAUCCCCACAUUAAAUGCAACCUUAAGCAAACAGAAAUGUUUUAUCAGUAUUGGAAAAUGGACUCUAAGGCUACUGUGGAGGAAAAGGAUAGAAUAUGAAACAUAAUAUUAAAGGAUAAUUUAAAAUUAACCCAUUUUAAUGCAUUGCUGUAAAGCUUUGGGGAUCCAGAAACUAUAUUACUUGUAAAAGAAUGGGUAAGUAAAGAUGAAAGAAAAUGAAAAUAGCAUGUCAAAAUACAAUCUUCUAAGUUCACUCAACUAAUCUGUAGUAAAGGAACAAAAAUAAGAAUGGAGAAAAAUGUUCUUUUUUUUCAACAAAUGGUGAUAAAAUAAUGAUAGCCACAUGGAAAAUGUAAGAAUCUAGAUACAGACUUCAUACCCAAUAAAUAAAAAAUAAGUUGAGAAUGGAUCGCAGACAUCAAUGUAAAAGUAGAAAAUAGAAAAUAUCUUCACAUAAUACAGACCUAAAAAAAUUCCAAACCUUGCACUAAAGUACUAAGUCAUUUUGCAUUUGUAGUUUGAUAUUAAGAAAAAAAACAUGUUAAACUGUUGCCACCUCUAUUCAACAUAAUGGUGAAUGGUUUAACUGGAUCACAUGGAUUAGCUGGACACAUGUAACACAUGUAAAUUGGAAAGGAAGUAAUAAACAAGAUUCCUCAUAAGAUUGUAUAUGGUAAAUUCAGCAGUGCAAAAGAAUAUCAGUACACAAGUUUCAUUUCUAUACAUCAAAAUUGAUAUUUAAGAGUACCAUUGACAUAAUUUCAUUUGAGGCAGCACUAUGUUAUCCACAGCUUUGAUGGCCAGGCUACCUCGUAAUUAUUCUUGAUUUCAUACCUGAUAAAUCUGAAAAACUAUAUUGUUUUGCCCUUACUACAAUAGGAACCACUGCAUCCAACCAAUUCUUGAUUCUUGCACUUAAAUAGGUCUUAGCUCAUUCAUACCAGAUUGUAAAUACAAUGGAUGUAUGCCAAAAUUAAGGAACACUGUCCCAAUAUAAUGAGAAAUACUAAAAACCCAAAGAGAGCCGGGAAGAUAUCCAUUUGGUAAAGCAUUUGGCAAAAUGCUUUUAAAGCAUGAGGAUCUGAGGGUGAGCCCUGGAACUCAUGUGAAAAUGUCAUGUAUAUUGGAUGUUUGCAGUCACAGUGAUGGAGUGGAAGGAAGAGAAUCCAAAGAGUUUAGUAAUUUGGCAGUCUGGCCUAUUUGGUCAAGUCGAGACUAUCUCAAUGGAGGUGGAUAGCAUUUCUAGUUAAGAAAGUGGAGGCUGUCCUCUGACUUAGAACACAUGAAUAUGCACAAACAUGCACCUACAUAUAUAUCUUUGUAUAUAAAAGAACAAGGCCAUUAUCAAAGAAAUACAAGUCAUGUUCCAGUAACCGACUCCAAAAAACCAGGCACAUUAACUUAGUGACAAUUUAAAAUGAGUUAAGAAUAGCCAACUAAAAGAGAACUGGGAGAGUACAAUCUGAAAAACAAUACAUGAACAAAUGAGUUUCAAUAAAGCUAUAGAAAGCAAAGCCAAAUUUUGGAGGUGAAGAGUACAGUGAAAGGAAAAUUGUAAGACUGGCUCAAAACAAGAUUUUUCAAUUAAAACUGGAAACCUUGACCUUGAAAAGAACACUUGAACCAAAUGCAUUUAACAGAUCUAUAGAACAUUUUAUCUCAAAACAAAAGAAUAUAUCCUCUCAGCACCUCAUGAACCUUCUCCAAAAUUGGCCAAAUAAUCACACACAAAAAGCCUUAAAGAAUCCAAGAACACUGAAGUGACUGCAUGCAUUCUAUCAGAUCACCACAGACUAAGGCUGGACUGAAAUAACAACAAAAACAAUGAAAAUCCCACAUACUCAUGGAUAAUGGAUGCUCUAGUCAAUGAUAACUUGGUCCAGGAAAAAAUUAAAAACUUUCUAGAAUUCAAUGAAAAUGAAAGCAUAGCAUACCCAGACUUAAUGGGACACAAUGAAAGCAGUGUUGAGGACAAUAGCACUAAGUGCCUUCAUAAAGAAACUGAUCCUAUACUAGCAACUUAUAGCACACUUGAAAGCUCUAAAAUGAAAAGAAGUAAACACAUCCAAAGGGAGUAAAUGGCAAUAAAUAGCCAAACUCAAGAUUGAAAUCAACCUAUUAAAAACAAACAAAAUACAAAAACUCAACAAAACCAAGAGCUGGUUCUUUGAAAAACACCAACAAGGUAGAUAAACCCUUAGCCAAACUAUCUAAAGGGAACAGAGCCAGUAUUCAGUUUAACAAAAUCAAAAAUGUAAAUCAAGACAUUGAGGAAAUUGAAAAAAAACAUUAGAUCUUACUACAAGAGACUUAACAAAACUGGAAAAUCUAGAUGAAAUGGUUGGCUUUCCAGACAGAUACCAUGUACUAAAGUUAAAUCAAGAUCAGGCAAACUAAAACAAGAACAAACAAACAGAAAAAAAAAAGCCAAACUACAAAAAACCCAGCCCAGCGCCAGAUGGUUUUAGUGCAGAAUUCUACCAGCAUUAAAAAAUGAGCUAAUACUAAUACUCAAGUAUCCUACAAAAUAGAAACAGAAGGAACACUACCUAAUUCUGUGAAGGCACAGUUACUCUGACACCUAAAUCACACAAAGACCCAACAAAACUUCAGACCAGUUUUGCUUUUGAAUAUCAACACAAAAAUACACAAUAAAAUUCUUGCAAAUUCAAUCCAUAAACAUAUCAAAGCCAUCCUUUACCAUGAUCAAGUAGGCUUCAUCCCAGGGCUUCAGGAAUGGUUCAAUAUAUGAAAAUCCAUAAACAUCAUCCACCAUAUACACAAACAGAAAAAAACAUGAUUAUCUCAUUAGAUGCUGAAAAAGCCUUUGAUAUUAAAAUUCUUGGAGAGAGCAGGAAUUCAUGGCACAUAUCUAAACAUAAUAAGAGCAAUAAAUAGCAAACUGACAAACAACAUCAAAUUAAAUGGAGAGAAACUUGAAACAAUCCCACUAAAAUCAGGAACAAGUCUUCCCACUCUCUCCCUGUCUUUAAUAUAGUACUCAAAAGUUCUAGCUAGAGUAGUUAGACAACAAAAGAAUCAAGGGGCUAUAAAUUGGAAAGGAAGUAGUCAAGUUAUUACUAUUUGCAGAGAACUCCUACAGCUGAUAAACAACUUCAGCAAAGUAGCUGGAUAUGAAAUUAACGGAAACAAAUCAGUAGCCUUCCUUUAUAUAAAUGAUAGAUGGGCCGAGAAAGAAAUUAGGGAAACAAAACCCUUCACAAUAGCCACACAUAAUAUAUCUUGGUGUAACUUUAACCAAGUGAAAGAUCUGAAUGACAAGAAGGGGAAUGGGGAGUGGGAGAGAGGAACCUGAUCUUGUAUUGGGUGAGGGAAAAGGACUGAAGCCCCAAGGGUCAGCAGAAAGAAUGUAAACAGGCAUCCUCAGGAAAUAGGAGGUUGGGGGGACCCCCCCCAGAACGCACCAUUGACCUAGGAGGUGAAAGACUUCCAGGACUCAAAGUGAGGGACCUUAGAUGAAAUGCCUGACAGUAGAUAGAGGGAACUUAUAAAGUCCACCUCCAGCAGGAAGAGAGGACAUCAAGUGAGGGAUGGGAUUUCCAUCCCACAGUCACACAUCUGACCCAAAAUCAUUCCUGUCUGAAAGAAUUACAAGGAUGGAAAUGGAGAGGAGCCUGAGGAAAAGAAGGUCCAUUGACAGGCCCAAAGUGGGAUCCAGCUCAUGGGGAGAUCCCAAGGCCUGACACUACUACUAAGGUUAUAGAGUGCUCACAACAAAGGAUCUAUUAUGAAUGCUCUCUGAAAGACCCAAAAAAACAGCUGAAAGAAGCAGAUGCAGAUAGUUGCACCCAACCAAUGGAAAGAAGCAGUUGACCCCUGUUGUUGAAUUAGGGAAGGCUGACAGAAGCUGAGGAGAAGGGUGAUCCUGUAGGAGGACCAGCAGUCUCAAUCUGGACCCCCGAGAUAACCCAAACAUUGGACCACCAAACAGGACAUAUCAACUGAUGAGGUCCCCAACACACAUACAGGAGAAUUCCGGAUCUGUGUUCAUUCAGAGAUGAUGAACUUAAACCUUAAGAGAGUGGGGAUGGAUGGGGGGGGGGUGACAAAUAGAAUAUGGAGUGUAAAAAUUAAUUAAAAAUAAUUUUAAAAAGAACUUCAAGUCCCUAAAGAACAAAGAUGGAAAGAUCUCCCAUGCACAUGGACCUGUGGAUUAACAUAAACAUCUUACCAAAAGUAAGCUACUGUUCAAUGCAAUGCCCAUCAAAGUUCUAAUACAGUUCUUCACAGACAUGGAAAGAGUAACUCUCAACAGAGUAACUCAACAUCAUAUGGAAAAACAAAGACCCAGGAUAACAAAAACAGUUCUUAACAGUAAAAGAUCUUCCAGGGGAAAUAAUAAUUCCUGGCCUCAAGCUGUACAAUCAAGCAAUUGUGAUAAAGAUCACGUGGUAUUGGUACAGAGACAGAAGUUGGCCAGUGGAAUAGAAUCGAAGACCCAGAAAUAAACCCACACACCUAUGGACACUUGAUCUUUGAUAAAGAGGGCAUCUGAAAUCAAGAAAAUAGAAAAGUGAAAAGAUCUCCUUGAGGGUUUGUGGAAUGAAAUGAUCAUUAACUUUUAAAUUUCCCAAUUGUAGAGGUUAAAUAGAAGAGACAGAGAAAGAAAAUUCAUUUGAGUACAUAAACUAUUGAGAACCAGGCCAAUCCAAAGCAUUCUCAGAGGCCCUAAUGAAGGAGAAAAGUAAUCUCUUUAUUCCAAACUUUCAUCUAUCCCCUAUUUUUUGAAAACCUGAUCCUCUCUCUCAAGGUUCUGUUACUGAAGGUUUGCCAGCUAGUCCAUGCCAGUAAAUAAUCAUUGAAAAUUCAGAUAUAUGAACAAAAUGGACAUUUAGGUAUAUGAUAGGUUCAAUACAACAAUGUAGACAACACACAUUAAAGAUUGAAAGAUUAAUUCUAUCAGUGCAUUUCUUAGCAUAUAUCAAAGUAUGAAAGUCACUGGUUAAGUAUAGAGUUAAAACAAAACAACCAGCCAAACAAAAGACAGUCACAAACCUCAUUUUAGAUUCAAGAGCAUAUAGACUGAAAAACAAAAUAGAAACUAGCAAUACAUUACACAUGGAAAAUAGGAGUGACAAAAUUAUGAAGAUAUAGUCACUAUAUAAUAAUAGAAUCCAUUAAUAGUGAGGUCUAACAUUUGUAACACAAUAUCUGUCUUAAAACAUAAACAUAAAAACACCUGAAAAGAUUAUCCUUUAGCAUUCUCCACUUAUAGUAGUGGAUAACUCAUCUGUACAAAGAAUCACUAGAGAACCAUUUGAGAUAUAUAUCAAUAAAUAAUAAAUAAUCUAAGAUUACAUCUCAUGGAACUAUAAAGGAAAAAACCAAAUCCUACAUGUCAAAGUGAUAAAAAGACAGGCUAUUGCAGGUAUACAUUAAAGACAAAAAAUUAAUUCACCUUCAAACUCUUUAAUAAUUGAAGGUAGAAUAGUUCUAAACCAAUUAAUCAUUCAGAAAAGGCCAAAGUCAUCAACAGUGUUCCAGUAAAACAAAGUUUCAUGGACUAAUGUCACAUCUACCCCUAUUUUACAAGAGUCUUUUAACUUACAGUCAGCAAAUUAUUAACAUUUAAGAUAAUUAGUAAUUAUUUUAAGAGAUAAAGAAAUUUUAUGAUAAAAAUGUCAUAUUUAGAGCUGAAAUGUUUUAAUGGAACACAUGUGUGUAACGCUUACAUUAAAUAUCACAAGUAAAUAUUGAGUAACUGAAUUAUUUACUUGAACUAAAGUAAGAAAAUGAUACCUAUGGAACAGGUAAUAUGGCUAGUAGAUAAAAGGCAAUUGCUGCCAAGCCUGAGGACCUAAACUGAAUCCUUGGGACUGCUAAGGUAGAAAUGACUUUUUUAAGUUGUCCCUUUAUGAUCACAUGAGUGUAAAGGCAUUUGCACAUGCAAAUGCAUGAACACAAACACAAUAAAUAAAUAAAUAAUUUUUUAAAAAGUAAGUUAUUCCCUUUUUUACCAAUUGGAUUCAAGAUAAUGUUGAAAGUUUUAGCUAGAGGAAUUGAGGAUGGGGAGUGAGAUAUAUAAAUCAGAAAGGAAAAAAUAAAAUGUAUAUUUGCAAAUGAUAUAAUUGUACAGAAAAAAUGUUAUUGCCUAAAGAAUUAUUACAGUCUUCAAAUCAAAGUUCAAUAUAUAAAACACACAAGAAAUAUCGACAUUUCUUUAUAUUAACAGUAAACUACCCAAAAGGGUAAUUAAGAAAGCUCUUAAGAAAAUAGUACCUCAAAUCAGAAAUAAACAUUGAAUAUAUCAGUUAGUUUGGACAAGAGUAUCAUGACCAUUUAUCAACAAAGGUCUGUUAUUUGAACAAAUAGUUUUGGGGAAAAUGGGUAUUAAGAUUUAGGAAAAUGAAUGCAGCACCUUUAAAUUACCGUAUAUAAAAUUAACUUAAAAGGAAUCAAAAAUAUAAAUGUAAGUAUAAAUUUUGAAGAAAAAUUACAUUAUAUGGGGCAUUAAUUUCAUGAAUAUAACACCAAAGGCAUAGACAACAAAAGACUGAACUUCAUGAUAUGUAGGCAUAAGUUUAACCACAGCAUCAAAACUUUUGUUUACUAAAAAUAAAUACUUAUGAAAAAAUUGAAGAUGACAGUAAUAGAUGUAUAUAUAUUACCUCUUUGUGGAUCCAAAGACUUUCAGCACAUUCAUACAGCCCAAAGUAAUGCGCAGAUUGAAAAUGAUUUUAUUCUGGUUUUAUGCUUUCUUUAGAUAAGUAAAAUUCUAUAAACAUAUGAAAUCACAAGGAAAGUUGAAUAGCUGAGCAUUUAUGACAUUAAAAAUAGCUGGAACUAUCACCCACCUUGAUUAACCUACUCACAGGGAAAGACCAAUUGUAAGCAAUGCAGAUCCUUAUACUGACACAUAGACGGACAAUUUACCUUUCACACAGGAAUUAUGAAUAAACGAUGAGAACAGAAUACUUAUCAAAAGAUGGUAUGUAAAUCCUGGAUAUGAAAAUGAAAAAAAUUGAAAUUGGUUCUAUUCCAUAAUCAUAUUAACCCAAGUAUGUUAAAGAUUUAAUUCUAAAUGAGAACUCCUAUAAUAAACUAAUUUUAACAGUGAUCUUAACAAUUACUUUUUAAGAUACAACAUCAAAUGCCUAGAAAUAAAUGCAAAUUUGCUGCCUAUUACAGGUUUGGUAGUAUGAAGGGGAAACAAAAAUAAAAAAGAUAACAUACAUAAUGGAAUAAAAUAUUUCCAAACUACAUCUGAUGUGUUAACAUAUAAACUAUAAAAAUAACAAAUAUUUCAAUAGCAAAUGAUAACAAAAAUUAUCUAAAUGUGACUUAGACAAAAGACAGAGUUAACCAUUUUCCAACAUACACAUACAAAGUAUUAAGAAUACAAGAAGUGCUCAGUAUCACUAUCUGGGGAAUGUAACUCAGAACAAUCGUGAUAAUACCUCAAAUAUUUUAUGAAUUAUUUUUAAAAGUCCAAAAAAUAGUGAAGAUAUGGAAAAAUGAAAAAUCUGAUUCUAUGUUUGAGGUGAAUGUAAAUUGGCAUAACAAGAUAUAAAUGUAAUAUAAAAUUGAAUGUAAAUUGGCAUUUGAAAAAAAUUGAAGCACCUAAUACCUUGUCUUUGUGCUCGAAUAGAAUGACAAGUUGUUAUGGUCGCCAGCAUCUGUCUCAUACAAGGAACAUGCUAAUGUAACAGUUAACUGUAAAGUUCACUGGCUUUAAAAUACACCUAAAUUUAACAACAAAAGAUUGAAGAUAUAAGCUGAGUGAGACAUCUCAUAGAAAGAAUGUACCUUAAAAUCUACCAAUCAUAGUUCAAUCUUCAGAACACACAGAAAAAGAGAGGACCAAAUCCCAAAAUUUGUCAAAUGACCUCUACAUAUGAGCUAUGGCACACAUGCACCCAUAGUCCAAUAUACACACAAUAAUAAUGACAAUGAUAAUAAUAAACAAAAUAAAACAAUUUCAAUUUUAAAAUGAAAAAUAAGUCAUGGAUGGUUUAAUCAAUGUUUAGAUAACUUGUAAUUUUUAUCAUAACAUUAUUCAUAUUAAUCAAGAUAUAAUACUGGGUCAAAAUGGAUACAAUGGAUAAAAUUAACACAGACAGAAUGUUUAAUCUCAAAAAAGAAGUCAUUUACUUUGUGACAGUAUGGAUGAACUAAGGUUAAACUGUGUGAAUAAGAAAGAACAAAAUACUUCAUGUUCUCACUAUAUGUGUAAUCUAAAAAUGUUAAACUCUAAAAGCUGAAUAUAAGAUUGGUUAGUAAUUUAGACUUGGGUCUUAAAGAAAACAUUGGUUGAAGGAAUUAUAGUUUUAAGAUGAACAAAUUCAGCAUUGUAAACCUCAUUCUCUACAAUCUAUAUUUAGAACUUGAUGAAUAUAUCUUAAAUACUUGCAGAACACCAAUGUAAAAUCUAUGUGGACUGAUACAGUAGUUUCAUUGUAUUAGUAUAUUUAUAAUCAUAAAGUUUCAGAGAGUGUGAAUAGAUAUUGCGAAUUGUGUCUCAAUACAACUAUUAAAACCUCAAAGCAUCAAGGAGUGAAAAAUAUUCAGCAAUUAAAUUAAUUAAGAUGGAGGAGGGUUAUAUACUUAAAACUACAAAUUAUUGCUAAAGAUAAAUAAAAAUAGUCACCAUUCAUAAAGUUGAAGGUAAUAUAUAAAUACUACACAAAGCAUUUUAUGCCCUCAGGGCAUCCAUAAUAAAUAACCAAAUGUCUAUAGAAAUUAGAAAAAUCCAUCCUAAUAUUCACAACCUUUAGAUAAUUACACAAAACUGUUACAUGAUCAUGGUCUUCAAAUUAAGCACAAACAGUGCUGUGGGACUCCAUUUUCUAACAUCAAAUGGUCUUACCAUGUUACCAUUGACAAAAGUGAAUGAUAGUAAUUUAAAUAAUUUAAAGAUAGACUUACAGAUCAAUGGAACAUAUUAAAAGAGAGAACUCAGAAAUGAUCCUUGGUGUACAUGACAUUUUACAGUGUUGGCCAGACUAAUUUAAAAAGAAAAAGUCAUCUUGACAAUAUAUAGUGCUGGUAAAACUAGACAUCCUUAUGUAAAAGGGUAAAUUUUGGAUCUUUACUAAAAGCAUAUAUAAAAAUUAAUUCAAGGUCUGUCAAAGACCUAAACAUGACCUGAGAAGUAUAGAACUCAUGGAACUGGCAGUGACUUCUUAGAUGUGAAACUUAAAAAACAAAGAAAAAAGGGGGGAAGAAUAUAGAAAACUCUCUGAGUAUUUUAAAUGUUUGAACAUCAAAAUACUAUUUCUCUAUAAAAACCCAGCCACAAAGAGUAAAGCAUUUGCAAGUUACAUAUCUGAUAAGGGAUUAAUAUCUGUUAUUUACUGAAAAAGGCAUUACUUAUAUAAGAUCAAUUCAAAGUAGGUAAAAGACCUUGAGAAGUAUCAUAAGAACAAUUAUAAACGAUAUGUAUACACAUAUACUAAUGUGAAUAUCAAUUAUUAAUGAAAUGUACAUCAAAAUUCUAAAAACAGGAUCACUGAGAUAGCUCAUCAGGUAAAAGUGCUUGCUGUCAAUUGAUGCAAGACUGACAAUCUAAUUGUCCUUGAAACCUGUGUGAAGGUGGAUGAAGAGAACUGAAUCCAUAGUAUUAUCAUCUGAUCUGCAUAUAUACCAUAUGCAAUGUGAACUGCCCCCACAUCUAACUAUAAUUAAAUAUACCUCACAAUCACAUACCAUUUCAUGAGAGAGAGAGAGAGAGAGAGAGAGAGAGAGAGAGAGAGAGCAGAGAAGAGCUUCAUCAAGACAUAUUACAAUCAAAAAAGUCUAAAAAGAAAAGUGGUAAGUCAUUUAUAGUAUUAUGGACUACAGUAGAUUUCAAAGAUGAAAUUCUAUAGGCUAAGAGGUGAUGAUGUAAGAUAUUCCAAGUUCAGAAGCAAAGAAAAUUUCAACCAUUAAGUUCAAGGGCAUUGUUAGAAAUAAAGGAGAAACAAUGCCCAUUUAAAACAAGCAAAAUCUGAGGGAAUCCCUAAGCACUAGUCCAGCAAGCAUUAUAAAACCACAAAAAUAAGAGGCAAGAAAAGUACUCAACUAAAAGACAGCAAAAUCAUAAAGACAUCAGUUAUCCAUAAUAACCUUUAAUAUAUAUAAGAUACUUCAAAUUCUGUAGCCAUGGUAGCACACACCUUUAACCCUAGCACUCAGCAGGCAGAAGCAGAUAGAUCUCUAUGAAUUUGAGUUCAGUCUCGUCUACAUAACAAGUUUUAGGACAGCAAGGACUACUUGAAGCAACCUUGCCUACAAUAAGUGUGAUAUCUACAAAAAAUAUGAGAUGGUACUAUAGACAAAUGGUCAAGAUGAUUAUUUCAAAACUAUAUUUGCUCAUUAUUGGAGCAUAUAGUUUUAUAAAACAACAUCAGACAGAAGAAUAUGUGAGAGUUGUCAUCAUCAUACUGUGUCAAUGGGUUAUCCAGACUCUCACCUUCAAAAAAGGCAAAAAUCAAUGAAAUCAGACUCCCUUAAAGAAAUACAAAAGAACAAAGGUAAACAUCUAGAAGCCCUGAAAGAGGUAACACAAAACAAUCCAGGAUCUAAAAAUGGAAGUAGAAACAAAGAAGAAAUCACAAAGGGAGACAACUCUGGAGAUUCAAAACCUAGGAAAGUGAUCAGAUGGUGAAAGGCAAAUACAAGAAUCUUACCAACAGAAACCAAGACUACUUGGCAUCAUCAGAACCUAGUACUCCCACCACGGUGAGUCCUGGAUACCCCAACACACCCAAAAAGCAAGAUUUGGAUUUAAAAUCAUAUCUCAUGAUGCUGGUAGAGGAUUUUUAGAAAGGACAUUAAUAACUCCCUAAAAGAAAUACAGGAGAACACAGCUAGACAGGUAGAAGUCCUUAAGAGGAAACACAAAAAUCCCUUAAAGAUUACAAGAAAACACAACCAAACAGGUGAAUUGAACAAAACCAUCCAGGAUCUAAAAAUGGAAGUAGAAACAAUAAAGAAAUCACAAAGGGAGGCAACACAGUAGAUAGAAAUCCUAGGAAAAAUCAGGAGUCAUAAAUGCAAGCAUAAUUAACAGAAUACAAGAGAUGAAAGAGAAAAUCUCAGAUGCAGAAGAUUCCAUAGAAAACAUGGGCACAACAAUCAAAAUGAAAAAUGGAAAAAGAUCCUAACUCAAAACAUCCAGGAAAUCCAGGUCACAAUGAGAAGACCAAACCAAAAGAUAAUAGGUAUAGGUGAGAAUGAAGAUUAUUGACUUAAAGGGCCAACAAAUAUCUUCAACAAAAUUAUAGAAGAAAACUUCCCAAACCUAAAGAAAGUGAUGCCCAUGAACAUACAAGAAGCUUACAGAACUCCAAAUAGCUUGGACCAGAAAAGAAAUUCUGCCUGACACAUAAUAAUCAAAACACCUAAUGCACAAAACAAAGAAUAUUAAAAGCAUUCAGGGAAAAAGUUCAAGUAACAUAUAAAGGGAGCCCUAUUAGAAUUACACCAGAUUUCUCACCAUAGACUAUGAAAGGCAGAAGAUACUGGACAGAUGUUAUAGAGAUACUAAGAGAACACAAAUGCCAGCCCAGGCUACUAUACCCAGCAAAACUCUCAAUUACCAUCUAUGAAGAAACAAAGUAUUCCAUGGAAAAACCAAAUUCACACAAUAUCUUUACAUAAAUAUAGCACUUUAAAGAAUAAUAAAGGGAAAUCUCCAACUCAAGGAGGGAAACUAUACCAUAGAAAAAGCAAGAAAGUAAUCCUUCAACAAACCUAAAAGAAGAUAGCCAUACGAACAGAAUCCCAACUCUAACAACAAAAAUAACAGGAAGAAACAAUUACUUUUCUUUAAUAUCUUUUAAUAUCAAUGGAUUCAAUUCCCCGAAUAAAAAGACAUAGACUAACAGACUGACUACAUAAACUGGACCCAACAUUUUGCUGCUUACAGGAAACCCACCUCAGGGACAAUGAAACUGCCUCAAAGUAAAAGGCUGGAAAACAAUUUUCCAAGCAAAUGGUCCCAACAAACAAGCUGAAGUAGAGAUUCUAAUAUUGAAUACAACCGAUUUUCAACCUAAAGCUAUAAAAAAAACAAGGAGGGGCACUUCAUAUUCAUCACAGGAAAAAUCUCAAUUCUGAACAUCUAUGCUCCAAAUGCAAGGGCAUCUACAUUAAUUAAAGAAAUUUUAGUAAAGCUCAAAGCACAUAUUACACCUCAAAAAAGUAAUAGUCCGUGACUUGAACAUCCAACCCUCAUCAAUGAACAGAUCAUGGAAACACAAACUAAACAGAGACAGUGAAACUAACAGAAGUUAUGAAACAAAUGGAUUUAACAGAUAUAUAGAACAUUUCAUCAUAAAACAAAAGGAUAUACCUUCUUAUCAGCACUUCAUGGCACCUUCUCCAAAACUGACCAUAUAAUCAGACACAAAAAUAUUGAAAUAAUUCCAUGCAUCCUAUCAGAUAACCAUGGAUUAAGACUGCUCUUCAAUAACAACAUAAAUAAUAGAAAGCCAACAUACAUGUGGAAUCUGAACAACACUCUACUCAAUGAUAACUUGGUCAAGGAUGAAAUAAAGAAAGAAAUUAAAGACUUUUAAUGAAAAUGAAGCCACAACAUACCCAAACUAAUGGGACACAAUGAAAGCAGUCCGAAGAGGAGAACUCAUAGCUCUGCUCUGCGUGCCUCCAAAAAGAAACUGGAGAGAGCAUACACUAGCAGCUUGACAGCACACCUAAAAUCUCUAGAACAGAAAAGGGUGCAAAUUCACCCAAGAAAAGUAGAUGGCAGGAAAUAAUGAAACUCAGGGCUAAAAUAAACUAAGUGGAAAUGCAAAUAACUAUACAGAGAAUCAACCAAACCAGGAGCUGUUCCUUUAAGAAAAUCAACAAGAUAGAUAAAGCAGACUAACUAGGGGACACAGGGACAGUAUCCAAAUGAACAAAUUCAGAAAUGAAAAGGGAGACAUAACAGAAUCUGAGGAAAUAAAAAAGAUCGUCAGAUCCUACUAAAAAAGCCUAUAUGCAACAAAACUGGAAAACCUGGAGUUGGGCAUGGUGGCACAUGCCUUUAAUCCCAGCAUUUGGGAGGCAGAGGCAGGNNNNNNNNNNNNNNNNNNNNNNNNNNNNNNNNNNNNNNNNNNNNNNNNNNNNNNNNNNNNNNNNNNNNNNNNNNNNNNNNNNNNNNNNUUAGACAACAAAAGGAGAUCAAAGGGAUACAAAUUGGAAAGGAAGAAGUCAAAAUAUCACUAUUUGCAGAUGAUAUGAUAGUAUAUAUAAGUAAAUUCUACCAGAGAACUAAACCUGAUUAACAACUUCAGUGAAGUAGCUGGAUAUAAAAUUAACUCAAACAAAUCUUUCUCUACACAAAGGAUAAAUGGGCUGAGAAAGAAAUUAGGGAAGCAACACCCUUCACAAUAGUCACAAAUAAUAUAAAAUACCUUGGUGUGACUUUAAGGAAGUGAAAGUUUUGUAUGACAAGAACUUCAGGACACAGCUUCUGGGACAGGCCCUGAUUUGAGCUGCAGACAUCGGGCACCUUCCCUGCCAGAGGAGAGGUAGCCACCCAAGAGGCCUCUGACCACCAGAGCAGGUGAGGGAGCCAUCUUGUGUCCCGGGUCCCUCUGAGACCAGUCUGCGCAGAUCUGCUCACAGACUGCAUAGGGUGAGCAACAGGAUUGCAAAAGCGACACAGCUUCUGGGACAGGCAGAAGUGACAUGGCUUCUGGGACAGACCCCGUUUCAGGCUCCAGACAUCUGGGCACCUUCCCCACCAGAGGAGAGGUGACCACCUGGGAGGGCUCUGACUGCUGGAGCAGGUGAGGGAGCCAUCUUGUGUCCUGGGUCCCUUGGAGACCAGUCUGUGCAGGUGAGUACAUAGACUACAAAAGCAACACAUCUUCUGGGACAGGCCCUUUUGGGGGCCUUCAUCUUCAGCCAGAAGGUAGUUCUGAAUGCCAGACCUCUGUGCACCUUCUCUGCAAGAGGAGAGCUUGCCUGCAGAGAGUACUCUGACCAUUGAUACUCAGGAGAGAGCUGGACUGCUGACAGAGGCUAACAGAAUUACAAGAGGAACAGGCUCCAGCCAGAGACAACUAUAACAACACCAGAGAUUACCAGAUGUUGAAAGGCAAACGUAAGAAUCUUACCAACAGAAACCAUGACCAUUCACCAUCAUCAGAACCCAGCACUCCCACCUCAGCCAGUCCUGGAUAUCCCAACACACACGAACAGAAAGCAAGAUUCAGAUUAAAAGUCAUAUCUCAUGAUGCUGGUAGAGGACCUUAAGAAGGGCAUUAAUAACUCAAAGAAAUACAGGAGAACCCUGCUAAACAGGUAGAAGCCCUUAAAGAAAUACAGGAGAACCCUGCUAAACAGGUAGAAGCCCUUAAAGAGAGACCUAAAAACGGAAGGAAGACCAAAGUGUAGAUACUUGGAGUUACAGAGACAAAGUUCAGAGCAGAGACUGAAGGAAGGACCAUCCAGAGACUGCCCCACCUGGGGAUCCAUCCCAUAAACACCUACCAAAUCCAGACACUAUUGUGGAUGUCAACAAGAUUUUGCUGACAGGAGCCUGAUAUAUCUGUCUUCUGUGAGGCUCUGCCAGCGCCUGGCAAAUACAGAAGAGAAUGCUCACAGUCAUUCAUUGGACAGAACACCGGGUCCCCAAUGAUGGAGCUAGAGAAAGCACCCAAGGAGCUGAAGGGGUCUGCAACCCUAAAGGUGGAACAACAAUAUGAACUAACCAGUUCACCCAGAGCUCCCUGGGACUAAACCACCAAUCAAAGAAAACACAUGGUGGGACUCCUGUCUCUAGCUGCAUAUGUAGCAGAGGAUGGACUAGUUGACCAUCAAUGAGAGGAGAGGCCAUUGGUGUUGUGAAGGUUCUAUGCAGUAUAGGGGAAUGUCAGGGCCAGGAAGGAGGAGUGGGUGAGUUGGGGAGCAGGGGGAGUGGGGGGAUAGGGAAUUUUCGGAGAGGAAACUAGGAAAGGGGAUACAAUUGAAAUAUAAAUAAAGAAAAUAUCUAAUAAAAAAAGAUAUCACAGAAAAGAAAUAAAUUAAAUUAAUCAAAAUCUUAAAAAAGAGAGUGAUGAUUCCCAACUUAAAGGGCCAAUAAAUAUCUUCAACAAAAUUAUAGAAGAAAACUUUCCUAAUGUAAAGAACGAGAUGUUCAUAAACAUAAAAGAAGCCUACAGAACUCCAAAUAGCUUGGGCCAGAAAAGAAAUUCCUCCUGACACAUAAUAGUCAAAACACCAAAUGCACAAAACAAAGAAAGAAUAUUAAAAGCAGUCAGGGAAAAUGUUCAAGUAACAUAUAAAGGCAGACCUAUAAGAAUUACACCAGACUUCUUAUCAGAGACUAUGAAAGCUAGAAGAUCCUGGGCAGAUGUUAUACAGACCCUAAAAGAUCACAAAUGCCAGCCUGGGCUACUAUACCCAACAAAACUCUCAAUUACCAUAUAUGGAGAAAACAAGAUAUUCCACUACAAAACCAAAUUUACAAAAUUUAUUUCCACAAAUCCAGGUCUACAAAGUAUAAUAGAUGGAAAACUCCAACACAAGGAGGGAAACUACACCCUAGAAAAGCAAGUAAGUAAUCCUCUUUCAACAAACCCAAUAGAAGAUAUCCACACAAACAUAAAAAUAAUAUCAAAAGCAACAGCAAGCAACAAUCACUAUUCUUUAAUAUCUUUUAACAUCAAUGGACUCAAUUCCCCAAUAAAAAGACAUAGAUUAACAGACUGGUUACAUAAACAGGACACAGCAUUUUGAUGCAUACAAGAAAUGCACCUCAAUGUCAAAGACAGUCAUUACCUCAGAGUAAAGGGCUGGAAAAUGAUUUUCCAUGCAAAUGGUCCCAAGAAACAAGCUGGAGUAGCCAUCCUGAUAUAGAAUAAAGUCAACUUUCAACCAAAAGUUAUCAAAAAGGAUAAGGAAAGAUACUUCAUACUCAUCAAAGAAAAAUCUACCAAGAAGAACUCUAAAUUCUGAACAUCUAUGCUCCAAAUGCAAGAACACCCACAUUCAAAAAGAAACUUUACUAAAGCUCAAAGCACACAUUGUACCUCACACAAUAAUAGUGGAAGAUUUCAACACCCUACUCUCAUCAAUGGAUAGAUCAUGGAAACACAAACUAAAAAGGGACAGAGUGAAACUAACAGAAGCUAUGAAACAGAUGUAUUUAACAGAUAUCUAUUGAACAUUUCAUCAUAAAACAAGAGGAUAUACCUUUUUCUCAGCACCACAUGGCACCUUCUCCAAAACUGACCAUAUAAUUGGUCACAAAAAAGGGCCUCAACAGAUACAAAAAUAUUGAAAUAAUCCCAUGCUUCCUAUCAGAUCACCACAGACUAAGGCUAGUCUUCAAUAGCAACAAAAACAGAAAGCCCACAUACACGUGGAAGCUGACCAACACCCUACUCAAUGAUAACUUGGCCAAGGAAGAAAUAAAGAAAUUAAAGAAUUUUUAGAACUUAACGAAAAUGAAGCCACAACAUACCCAGACUUUUGGGACACAAUGAAGGCAGUCCUAAGAGGAAAACUCAUAGCUCUGGGUGCCUCCAAAAAGAAACCAGAGAAAGCAUACACUAGCAGCUUAACAACAUACCUGAAAGCUCUAGAACAAAAAGAAGCAAAUACACCCAAGAGAAGUAGAUAGCAGGAAAUAAUGAAACUCAACCAAGUAAAAACAAAAAGAUCUAUACAAAUAAUGAACAAACCAUGAGCGGUUCUUUGCGAAAAUCAAGAUAAACCCUUAGCCAGACUAACCAGAGGACACGGAGAUAGUAUCCAAAUUAACAAAAUCAGAAAUGAAAAGGGAGACAUAACCACAGAAAACGAGGAAAUUCAAAAAAUCAUCAGAUCCUACCACAAAUCCUAUACUCAACAAAACUGGAAAACCUUGAUGAAAUGGACAAUUUUCUAGACAGAUACCAGGUACCAAUGUUAACUCAGGAUCAGAUAAACCGUCUAUACAGUCUAAUUGUAAUUGGUGAUAAUGUUGCAUAACUAAAGAUCACAAAAUAAUGGGUAAAGAUUCCAUCUAGAAAUCACAUACACAUAAAUUAGACAUUAGUUGAAAGGAAUACUAUACAAUGAAUAGUGUACCAACGAAGGAGAACUAUCUGUGAAUGGGUGAUAUAUUUCUUUUUAAAUAAAUAACUUGAAAUGAUAAGAUGAUUACAUGUAUUUGGAAGAGCCACACAUAAACUCUAAACCAGAAAACAUUACAAUUUGUUACUUACAAGAGUUGGGGCUUAUGAAUAUAGAAGGGAUAUGGGAGGAAAAGGCUUCUCUCAGUAGAUUAUUUUGUGUCUUUUUUUGUUUGUUUUUUGUUUGUUUGUUUUUGAGACAGGGUUCCUCUGUGGCUCUGGCUGUUCUGGAACUCACUUUGUAGACCAGGCUGGCCCCAAACUCAGAAAUCUGCCUGCUUCUGCCUCCCGAGUGCUGGGAUUAAAGGCGUAUACCACCACACCUGGCAUGUGUCAUUUUUGACUUUUGGAAAUAUAUUGAUACUUUCAAUAUUUUAAUAACAAACAUGUGGGCAGUUUCAAAAAAACAGUGGGAUAAGAAACACAGGCUAAAGUCUCAGUAGGGUAGCCAUAGUUCUAGGUACUGGGGAAAAGAUUUGUAAGAAUGAUACCUUAGGAGUUCAAGAGCAGUCUGGAUAAUGGCAAACCUCCAUCUCUCUAAACCACUGGCUCUCAAAUUUGAUGUCAUGUCCCCUUUCACAAAGGUCACAUAUCAGAUAUCCUGCAUAUCAGAUAUUUACAUUAUGAUUCAUAAUAGUAACAAAAUUACAGUUAUGAAGUAGCAACAAAAAUAAUUUUUAUGAUUGGGGAGCACCACAACAUGAACAUCUAUAUUAAAGGGGCACAGCAUUAGGAAUGCUGAGAAUCACCACUCUAUAUGAACAACUAGCAAAUUCUCAUUUUUCUAAAGAAACAAGCAAAUACAGUGUUUAAAUUUUUUACCAUUGUAAAUCUGAGCAAGACUGUCAAAAACAGUGAUUUCAGAAAUGUAAAUUAAAGUCACAUAACAAACUGAAGAAAAACAUUAGGGUUGUGGAGCAGAAACAGUACUUAUUUCAGUUGUGAGGACCCUAUUUAAUCACAAUUAUUUUUUUAAAAAACUACAAAAGUAAAAUCUGAUAAAUCUCCAUAGAAAUUGCAAGGUCUGUGGAAAUUUAACCUAAGGUUGCCUUUCCCAUACCCAGAUGAGUACAAUAGCCUUGAAGACUAGCAUCUUUUCUUCCAAUGAAGAAGCCUAACCUGAUUUGAACUCUAUUGCCAGUCUCAUUCUUUAUGUCAAAAAAUAGUGUCCUCAAGACAUUUACUGGUUAAAGCCACUGUUAUAGCAAUCUGACGCUCUAGCACUGGUUGUUGCACAUAAAUACACACACAAAAAAGAUAGUAAAUUCUUAGAGAUAAGUAAGAUGGUCUGUACUCUCAAAAAAGACCAGAAGUACUCUCCUUAUCUACACUGCUGAUUGUGAGACACUGUACAGACAAGAUGGUAAAACAAAGGACAGUUGUAAAGAAUCCAAAUGUUGAAUGGAAAUCCUAAGGCAAAGCCCUUUCAGGAAAAUUUGGAAAAUUUACCAGCUUGAGAUACUUAAAACAAGGCCUCUGACUAAUGGUGGCUUAAGAUGAUCAAUUAGAGCAUGCUUUAAAAACAAAGACAGUCAUUUUCUAAAGAGCAAACUUGAAGAUAAAUCAGAUACACACAUUGCAGGGAAAUGCAAACACUAUAGAAGCAAAAUUGGCACAGGCAUGGCAGAAACAAGCAAUUGCCCACGUAGAUGGGAAAAAAUUCAAAUGUAGUGUUCCUAAAAUCAACACAUCAUCCUAAGUGGAGAGGGGGCUAGAGAGAUUAAAGAUUUGUAAAUAGUAAUGAUCACUGAGAGAACCUAAAUACUAGUUUUAGUAGGUCAAGAUUUCAAAGUAUAAAUAUUCUCACACUAAAAUAAGCCUUGUUUUAAAGAAUAAAAGUAAAACAUUGUGACAAUAACUCAUCAGAUGAAAUGUUAAUAAAGAGAUAUAUUAUAAAGUUCAGUCAGUACAAAUUACAAUAACUUAAAUGAAAACCUUACUUGUAGAGCCAGAUUGCAAGAUAAGCUGGGAGCAGAGAAAAAGAAUCAGUGAAUUUAAAUAUAGAUAUAUAAAGAUUAUUCAGUUUAAAGGACAGAAAAAAAAAAGAGUAAGGAAGAACAAUGAACAGAACCUCAGAGAUCUGUUAGCUACCAUAAGAGUAGGUGUUACCACGAAUUUAUAUGUAAAUUGCACCAUGCAAUCCUCUGCUCCAUUGAAACAGAUAUGGUGGUAGAUGCUGAUAACCUCAGUAUUCAAGUGGUGGAAAUAAGAAGGUUUAGAAGCUCAAGGUCAUUUUCAGCUGCACAGUGAGUAGUUUAGACCACCCUGGGCUACAGGAGACCCUGUCUAUAAACAAACAAAACAAAUACCAGUUCCUGACAUUGUACUUAAUGGUGGAAGAUGAAAUGCUUUCCCUUCAAAUCAAGAAUAAGUUAACUCAGUAUAAUGGCAUACAAAUAUAAUUCCAUCUCCCCAGAGGAGGGGGAAGAAGAAGAAAGAUAAGUUAGAUGUCAUCUUGGGCUAUAUAGUUGUCUCAAAAAAUAAACCCAGCCACCCCCAAUUGAGUCAAGGGGACCUGUUUUAUCACUUUUAUUAAAUAUUGUGUAGAAGUUCUGAUCAGUUAUACAAGGAAAAGAAACAAGUCUGGAAAAAAGUAAAAUUAUAUUUCUAUAUUUAACCAAAAUCCCAAGAUUGUAAAAUAUAAAGCUCAAUCAUAUUUCUAUGUACCAUGAGGGACUAAUGAAAUGAAGAAAACAAUUCAUUUUAUAAUGUAAAAAUGAAUAAAUCACAGGUAUGAAUGUACUUAAUGCCACAGAAAUAUACUUAAAAUUAUUAACUUAUAAAUUAUGUGCUUUUUUUUUACGAAACUAAAAGGAACAAAAUUAAUCGAUCUAUUUUUUAAAGUAUACAAACUAUACUAUAUGAAUGACAGGAUACCACUGAAAGUCUAGAUCUAAAUAAAUUGAUAUAUAGCUUGUGUUUAUGAACUGGAAGACUUGAAGUUAAGAUACAUAUGGUCUUCAAGAUGAUGUAGAGACCUGAUCCUUACCAAAAUAUCAGGUGUCUUUUCUAGAAAAUAACAAGCAAUGUUUAAAAUUAUGUAAGACCCAAAUGACCUACAAUAGUUAAAGCAAUCUCCCAAAUCAGUCAAGUUAAAGGGUUCAUACUUUUCAAUAUAUAGAUUUACUAUAAAAUAACAAGGCACUAUGUAAGCAUCACAUCAAAUAGACAUACAUAAGAGGGGAUAGAAUUAAAAGUCUAUUAAAUAGUUUAUUAAAUAUAGAACCAGAUAAAUGGACUUUUGAUAAAGGUGCCACAGAAAUAAAUGAGGGAAUGAACAGUGUUUUGGAUGGAUUUUUCUUCAACAGCUGGUUAUAUAUGUAAGGGAAAUAAAGUUGAAUGGUUCCCUAUAUGUAAAAGCUUAAAAUCAAUCAAAGACUUAAAAAUAGCAAUUAAAUCUUGCAGAAUUCUUACAAAACAACAUAGAGUCAAAUCUUUGUAACCAAAUGUUUGAUGAAAGGUGUUUUGUUUUGCUAUUUUUUUUAUAUAAACCGAAAGUAAAAUAAAGAGCUGAUUCACUGGACUUUAUUAAAAAUUUUUAAAAAAUUAUGCUUGGGGGUAUACUACAAAGAAAGUGGAAGCUGUAGAGAUGGCUCAGCGGUUAAGAAUAUUGGCUGCUCUUCCAGAGGACCAUGGUUGAAUUACCAACACCUAUAUGGCAGCUAAAAUAACUUCAGUUCCAGGGGACCCAAUAACCUUACAAAGAUAUAUAUGCAAGCAAAACAUUAAUACACAUAAAAAGGAAUUAUCAAAAAAAUUUAAAGAAAGUAAGAUGGCAAUACAUAGGUGUGAGAAAAUACUCAAAAAUUGUUUGUUGAUAGAAUAUUUGUAGCAGGAUAAAUAUGAUAUAUAUCAAUAUACACACAUAUAUACACAUAAUUCAAUAUAUACAACACUCAGAACUCUUUGCAAUUCACACACACACACACACACACACACACACACACAAUCCCAAUUUAAAAAAUGAAGAAUCUAUGGCCUGUGAACCUUUAAUCUUAGCACUUCAGAGGCAGACAAGAAGAUCUCUAUGAAUUAAAAAUUAGCUCCAGUAAAGACCAUGUCAAUAGAAUGAGAUAGAUAGCUAUAGAGGGGGCAAAAAACUGAGAAAUCAUAUACUUGACUUAGGCUCUGUAUUCAGAACACAAGAAGAACUUCUUAAAACUUAACAUAAAAGGAAGUUCAGUUGGAAAAUUAGUAAACAAUUUAAAUAAACAGUUCACUGAAUGGAAGAAUGUGGAAAAAAUGAUUCAUUAUUAUUAUCCAUUGGCAAAAUACAAAUUUAAACCACAAUAAAACAUUACUGUGCCAGGCAUGGUAGCAUAUGCCUUUAAUCCCAGCACUCUCCUACACAAAGAAACCCUCUCUCAAAAAACCAAAAAAGCAAAUUUACUGCAUGUUUACCAGAAUUGGUAAAAUGAAAAAUACUGUCAAUAUUAAAUGAUCUUUAGUAAUUCCAAAUUAGGAAUAACUUAGAUGUCUGUGGAUGAGUGAGUGGUUAAAAAUGUGGUUUAUACAUACCAUGAAAUUCUACCCAGCAACAAGUCUGAAUUAACUACUGAUAUAUAAAACAAGUUGGAUGAACAUCUAGAGAAUUAUGGUAAAUUCUAAAAAUGGUCAAAUUUCAAAAGAUGUGUUUGAUUCUAUUUAUAUAGCAAUCUCAAAAAAGCAGAUCUAUAGAAUCAAGAACAGAUUAGUGAUUACUGGGAAUUAAGGGAUGGUAGGAGGGAAGACGGUGUGGCUAUAAAAGGACAAACAGGGAUCUGUGUGGUAACGAAUAAUAUUCUGUAUCAUUGAACCAGUGUUUCCAUCCUCCUUAAAUUGCACUACAGUUUUGUUACUACUGGGAAAACUAUAUAUGAGUUUUUCAAACUAUAGAUGAUCUCUUUGCAUUAUUUAUUACAAAUGAAUGUGAAUUUCUAAAAUUAGAUUAAAAGCUUGAAUUUUAGAAGUAUGCAAAAGGAAACCAGUAAGAAAGUGGGCAAAGGGGCUUUCUGACUUGAGUUUGAUCCCCAAGACUCAUAUUGUAGAGGGAGAAAAGAAACUCCCACAAGUUUUCCUCCGUUCUCCAUGCAUGUAUUGUGGUAUGAGUGUGCCAUCUCCUUCCCAUAUCUGUGAAAAAAUACAACUGUGCAAAGGAUCUAAAUACAUAUACCAGUAAAGAAGACAUGUAACUGACCAAUAAACACAUACAAAAAUAUUCAAUACCAUUUAUAAAGCACAUCAGGACUGAAAUCAGAUAACAAAAUACUAGGUAGACUUUUUUUUUUCUCAGCACUUUUUGGAUGGAGUAUUAUAGAUGGAAAAUCAUUUUUGCAGCUAC
rnacentral:lncRNA from 1 species